CUCGGAUCUACCAUAACUUGGUUUCCUCUCAUACCCGGACCCGUAUUCAGUCUCUGUUCUACCUCCAUAACCCGAUCCAUACUCGCCCUCAGUCCUCUGUCCGUAUCCGGUUCCAUAUUCGGAUCCGCCUCCUUCAUACUCUGCCUUUCGGCCAUACCCAGAUCCGUAUUCAGAUUCGGGUUCACCAUAGCUGGGUCUCCUCCCAUAUUCGGAUCCAUAUUCACCGUGCUCUGGUUUCCUACUAUACUCAGAUCUGUACUCGGACUCUUGUUCGCCAUAUUCGGGUCUCCGGCCAUACCCAGAUUCAAAUUCAGGAGGCGGAGGCUGCUCAAAUUCGGGUCUCCGUCGAUACCCAGAUCCAAACUCAGGCGGCGGAGGCUGCUCAAAUUCUGAUCUCCGGCCGGAUCCGAAAUCCGGUUGAUGUGAAUGCUCAUAUGCCGGCCUCCGGCCAUGCCCAGAUCCAAACUCCUCAGGAGGCUGCUCGAAUUCAGGUCUUCGGCCAUAAUCAGAUUCAAAUUCGGAUCCGGGUCGUCCGAAAUCCGGCUUGCGUCCAUGACCAGAUUCGAAUUGCUCAUAUUCAGGUUUCCUUCCAUAGUCACCAGAUCCAGCACCAAAAGCAGGUGCAGGUUCGAAUCGUCCAGGUCGGGGCUUGGGUUUAAGAUAGCUACUGUAUUCAGUUUCAAGAGCUUCGUCGGCAUAAGCUAAGUGCGCGUAACCGGAAGAGAAAUCGGGACGUGCAUAAUCAAAGUCGCCAUCGGAGGGUGUAGCGGAAGGGUAGCAAGUCUCAUCGGAGGGUUCCAAAGGACGACCGUAAGUUAGUUCAAGAUUGUAUCCACCACCGUAAGGCGUCGGAUCAAAUUCGUCGAACUCGUCAACGUCAUCUUCGCCACCCCUCGAGUAGUACGGCAUCUUUUCACUUAACUGUCGAAAGGAAAAAGUUGCUGCUGAAAAUGAGCAAAAUGGUGAGAAGUCUGCACUGAGGGUAAGCUGUUUAAAUAGAUAAAUACAGGAGAGCUUGAAUAUAGGAUCAUAAGAUUAGACAGCGACAUCCAUGGCAGGGAUUUAGGAAUUGAAUAAAAACGGCUGCGUUUUGAGGGGAAACAGAGAAUUGAUUGAUUUUUAUCUUAAUUUAAUAAUGAUUAUUAUUAAAUUGCCAUUGCCGACAAGACGAUGAUGUCAUGUUCAUAUUUGGGUUUGGUCUGAAUUAUCAAAAUGUGGAAGAUGCAUUGAGCAACGUCUUUUGGGUUUUAGGCUUGCUUGCAUGACUAAGGCUCAAAACGGGUUUCUGAAAUUUUGGGAGUAGAGUAACUACAAUUCUAGUGGACAUACCUCCCAUGUCCUUUGCUAUUCUAGCUUUUUAUUCAUUUUUCCUUCUUAGGACUUGGUUUGGACUUUGGGUUUUGCCGACUUUUUUUUUUUUUAUGUUUGUAGAAUAGUAUUGAGGAAGUAAAUAUUGUAAAUACUGGUUCCGUCGGUAUUGCUCAUCUUUAUGGUCUUGAUGAAGUAAUAGUAGGUGAAUUAGUAGAAUUUGAAGAGGGUAUUAUAGGCAUUGCCCUAAAUUUAAAAUGAAAUAAUGUUGGUGUAUAUUUGAUGAUACAAGAGGGAAAUUCUGUAAAAGCAACAGAAAAAAUUGCUUAGAUACCAGUGAGUGAAGUUUAUGUUCCACCUUUAUAAGCCAAAUUCAAAUAAAAUCAUUUUUUAUAUUACUAUUAUUAAUUUUAAAUAUAAAAAUAUAUUUAUUAAGACAGUCGGAAUGAAUACGGGCAAAUUAUUAUCUAAUUUCAACUCAACUUAUAUAUUUUUACUUUUUUAUACCAUUUCAAGUUUUCUAUAUUAUUAUUUUAAAAUUAAAAAUAUAAAAUCUAAAGAGAUCUACAAUAAUGAAAAUUACACCUCACCUCUCUAUACUAUCCCCAAAUUUAUGAGUUUGUUUAAUUAGCAAAUGAAAUGUCUUAAUUUAAUUACAUUCUGAGGUGUAUUUUAAGUAUACCUACAUAUUAUGUAGUAUUAAAGUAUGAUUGUAUUUAGUUCAUUUUACUUAAAAAAAAUAGGUGAAUUAAUUUUUAUAUAUUAAAUUAAAGAGUAAAUUAGUUAUUUUUAUUAAAAAAUUGAUCUAUUUAUAUCGUUAAAAAUUGUCGUGACUAAUAGAAUAACUAGAAAGUAACACGUGGUACACUAUAUGUACCAUAUACUGAUGUACAAAAUCUAAUUUUUAACAAUAGAAAUCGAUAAAAUUUUUAACCCAACAAACACUUUACUCUUUUAUAGAGGUUAAUUUUCUUUCUUUUUUCUUUUUUUUUUGUCAAAGGGGAAAAUGCAAUUCAAUCCCAGUAAAGGGGCCUCUUUGUUAUUUUUACCCAAUUUUCGUAUAAUUUCUUCAGGCAUAAUGACGGGCAUAAACUACAGACACUAAUCAUACUAAGAGUUCAGGAAACUUGAACAGAGCCCCCAUUAUAACCACAUGCUUUAUCUACGUGUCAGCCACAGGCUUUGAAAUUCCCAAAACUAAUCACACUAUCUGCGUGUCUUUAUCAUUACCCCCCCUACACGGAAAAGUAAAACGAUAACCGUAAGAGACCAAAACCGCUGUCGUUUUGUCGUCUUUUAUUUAAAAUGAAAGGAGAAAUUUGGAAAAGCCACCACUGAGGAUCGAUCGAUCAUCUUCCUUUCAGGUUUUCUCAUACUCUCUCUAAUUUCUUCUCUUUUUUUCCUUAAAAUUUUCGAUUAUUCUUUUAGCUUAUGUUUAAUUUUAUUUUACAAAUUUUCAGUAGAAUUUAAGGGGAAUUUUUUUUGGAAAAUAACUUAAAAGAUGAGUGAAGUUUUCGAAGGAUAUGAACGGCAGUAUUGCGAGCUAUCUGCGAAUCUUUCCAAGAAGUGUACGGCUGCUGGUGCUCUUACUGGAGGUUACAAUUCAAAUCUUUAUACGGAUAAACCUCUUUUUUGAAUUAUUUUUGUUAAUUUCUUUAUUUUUUUGCUCCUAAUUGCGGAUAUGUGGUUGCAUAAUUCGUUAUCUUCUUUCUAAUUUGGCGUGAGGAUUCUACUGAUUUUUUUUUUCCUUUUUUCAGAUUUAUGCUCUGAUUACAGAUUGUAUUUGAUAUUUUUUUCUCUUUAAAAAGAAAACUUAGAAUGCUUAAUUGGGAGAUGUGAGAAUGAAGAAAAGAAGAUCCGAUCUUUUUUCUCUACUUUGAGUUUUAUAUAUAUUAAUUGUUUAAUUAGUUAAUAAUUAAAAUUAAUCAAGAUUUUCUCAGUUUGUAAGAAUUCUUUCGAGGCAUUAAUGUAGAUAAGGGGAAAGGUCUUGAUUUUGGAACUUUAAGUUGAAUAUAUUUAAGCAAAGAGUUUAAACGGUCUGAAUUUUAGGCAAUAAACCGAGAAUUUAGAAUGUUAUCCUGAUUUAUAAUGUUGGAUUUAUGCUGUUGGAAUUAGGUUGCAGUUGGUGAACAUAUUGAUGUGCUUUGACAUUAGCUUUAAGAGGACUUUGAUUUUGUACUAAGAAACUUUGAAUGGAUGUAAUAGUUGCAUUUUUCAUUAGAAUUUCUGAAUUAUCCAAGAAUAAUGAUCCACAAGAGUUCGAUAAAGAGUUUAGUAUAAAUGCAUCUAAAAAGAAUACACAGAAAGAAAAUGGAAAAGGUAGAAUUAAAUUCAGCUGUCAAUUGAUAAAGGUUUGGCCUUGUAAACAAUUAUCAUAGAGCUUAUAUGGCUUAGAGCUAUUUUGAUCGGGCUUUCAUUUUUCUUUAGGUACCCUUGUCUGGCACAUAUCUAGAUAUGGGUAUAAGGAUAUAAUUUUCCCAGCCCUCUAGAUAUAUGGAAAAAUUUAGAUAAAAUUGAACAUACUCAUGUUGGAUAUAUAUAUCCAUAUUAGAUACUUACACUUGAGUCUGAGUAACUUGGGGUCUUAGGCUAAGAGUACCCGAUUCAAGGGAAACAAAAAGAUUAAAUGCAUCUCUACUUGGGAACAGAACUUUUAAUCUUUUACUCCAUUUUAAUGAAAAAGAUUGUGUCUGGUCACCUUUGCAUCUUUUCUGUGAAUUGGUGAAUUUGUAAGGUGAUACUGAAGAUUUUGGUUGACAAACAAUGCAGAUACAUGAGUCUGAAUAAAUUUACAUCUGUUUUUGUUGAAUGAUGCAGUACGUUAGUUUGUUAAUUCAUCAGAGGUGUUCAAUAAGAAACUUCUCAAUUUGUUAGAGUAUCAACCUCCAUAAUGAGCCAAUUCUUGCUCCAAUUUCUUAUUUGUUCUUCUUAUGUUCAGAGCAGAAGAAACAAAAACUUUCUGAUAUAAGAGCUGGAGUGGAAGAUGCAGAAGCUCUGGUAUGAUACCUGGUUAAUUGUCUGUUUCAAAUAAUCAUUUUUAGUUUUUCCUAUAUUUUGGGUGUUGAACUUGAUGUUGCUAUUUACAUUUUUCAGAUUCGAAAGAUGGACCUCGAAGCAAGAAGUUUGCAGCCAAAUGUUAAGGCUGUACUUCUUGCUAAGUUAAGGGAAUAUAAAUCAGAUCUAAACAAUCUGAAAAGUGAAGUUAAAAGAAUCGCAUCUGGUAAUUUGAAUGCGGCUGCUCGAGACGAGUUGUUAGAGUCCGGCAUGGCUGAUACUCUCACGGUAUCUUUUGGUUCGCCUACCCUCAGUUUAACUUGCUGUGGUUUUAUCACUGGUCUUCUCUAAUUAGGCUUUUGAUUUACUUAUAAUUGAUGACUAUGCAACAGGCAUCAGCUGAUCAAAGAUCAAGAUUAAUGAUGACUACAGAGCGGUUGAAUCAGAGCAGUGACAGAAUUAAGGACAGCAGGAGAACCAUGUUAGAAACAGAAGAGCUUGGGGUUUCAAUCCUUCAGGAUUUGCAUUCACAGCGACAGGCUCUCUUACAUGCCAAUAACACGGUACCUCCAAUUCUCUAUCAUUAGCUUUACAUUCUCGUAUUUCAGUUGUAAUGUCAUUCAAGUUCACUAUAUCAAAGGCUUAUACAAUAGUUAGACCUUAAAUCGUCUCAUCUUAUGAUGUAAUGGUUGAUUGCAAACCUUUAGAUUCCAAGAACUUGCUAUGUCAAGGGCUUAUAUGGUAGAUAGACUUCAAAAUUUUGUAUAUUAAGCCUCAGCUAUCUAUUUGAAGUUGUGUUUCCCUUUCUAUUGCAGCUCCAUGGAGUAGAUGACAACAUCGGCAAGAGCAAGAAAAUUUUGACAGCUAUUUCUAGGAGGAUGAGCAGGAACAAGUGGAUCAUUGGCACCAUUAUCGCCAUCCUUAUCAUUGCGAUCGCUCUUGUUUUGUACUUCAAACUUGCUAAAUAGUCAAUUAUUUGUAUCUUCGCCCUGUUGGUUCUGCUUGGUUUGUCUUUGUUUGUCCUUGCGAGCUUGUCCAUGUUGAGUGCCAAUAUAAAUGUAUGCUUUGUUAAUUCUAAUGACUGAAUUUUUCGUCACCUCAAUUUUAUGUGCUGACUUCCAAGAAAUGGUUUUACGUACUCUCGCACCUCACCUUUGAAAUAUUCUGUUUUCUUAACAUAGAUUCAGUAUUCACUGUUUUUAGGUUGUGAUCGUAUUAUUUUUUUUGGUCCAUAAUAUUUUUAUGUUUUUCCAUGUGUCACAUCGGGUUUCAGAUUUUUUUUUUUUUAAAUUAAUGGACCGAGUUCUGUGAUUCGCAGCUCAAUCAACCAAGAAUAAUUAUAUACCAUUUCGGUGUUCAUUGUUGCUAAGCAAAAUAAAGACAGAUGAAAUGGCCAAUCCUGCGAGCCUUCCCCUCCUUUUCCCCUCGCUACCUGCGUCCCUUCAUUCGCAUAUGUGCUCAACGAUCUGCUCUCACCACUGGCAAAAAACUCCAUGCCAUGGUCCUCACUACGGGCCUUUCUACUACUGAAAAUUCCUUUCUUCUCAACACCCUCCUCCACCUUUAUGCAUCUUGUGGUGAUAUAUCAUCUGCCCAGAAAUUGUUCGAUGAAAUUCCCCACUCGAGCAAGGAUGCUGCUGACUGGACUUCCCUCAUGUCUUCCUUUUCUCGCCAAAAUAGGCCUCAUGAUUCUUUACUUUUGUUUGCUCAAAUGCUUGAAAAAGGUGCUGAAAUUGAUGAUGUGGCGAUGGUUUGCUUGUUUAGUGCGUGUGCAUGGUUGCGGGAUGUUGGGGUGGGGAGUCAGGGUCAUGGACGUGUGGUGAAGAUGGGUUUCGAAAGGAGGGUGAAAGUGUGUAAUGCGCUGAUGGAUAUGUAUGGCAAGUCUGGGAUGGUGGAAGAGAUGAGAAGUGUUUUCAGUGAGAUGAAGGAGAAGAAUGUUGUAUCAUGGACCGUGGUUUUGGAUGGGGUGUUGAAGUGGGAGGGUGUAAGUAAUGGAAGGGAGGUGUUCGAUGAUAUGCCACAUCGCAACGAAGUUGCAUGGACAAUAAUGAUUGUUGGUUAUGUAGGGAAUGGAUUUAGCAAGGAAGGCUUUUUGCUUUUGAGCCAGAUAGUGUUUCAUUUGGGUAUUAAAUUGAAUUAUAUAACACUUUGUUCUUUAUUGUCAGCUUGUGCACAGUCUGGAGAUGUGGCGAUGGGUAGAUGGGUUCAUGUUUAUGGCUUGAAGAUGAUGGGGAUGGAGAUGGACAUCAUGGUGGAAACUGCCUUGUUGGAUAUGUAUGCCAAAUGUGGCAGGAUAGAUACUGCAGUCAAAGUUUUCAAGUGCAUGCCUCGAAGGAAUGUGGUGUCAUGGAAUGCUCUUCUUAGCGGGUUAGCUAUGCACGGAAGAGGUCAACUUGUGAUCAAUAUGUUCCCAAGGAUGAUCAAGGAAGUUUUGCCAGAUGAUUUAACCUUUAUCGCUAUUCUAAUUGCUUGCAGCCAUUCUGGUAUGAUAGAUCAAGGAUCAUAUUAUUUUAAUAGUCUCCAAUCUGUGUAUGGUAUAACACCUAAGAUCGAUCACUAUGCUUGUAUGGUGGAUCUACUUGGAAGGGCCGGUCGUUUGGAGGAAGCUGAGACAUUGAUAAACAAAAUGCCAAUACCUCCAAAUGAGGUUGUUUUGGGAUCUCUUCUGGGUUCCUGCAAUUCACAUGGAAAGCUACAAUUAGCCGAACGCCUUCUUCAAAAGCUCAUUCUGAUGAAUCCUUGUAACACAGAAUAUCAUACCCUGCUUUCAAAUAUGUAUGCAUUGGCAGGUAAGCCAGACAAAGCUAAUGCCCUUCGGAAAGUUCUUAAAACUAAAGGAAUUAGUAAGGUUCCUGGAAUGAGUUCUAUCCAUGUAGAUGGCCAACUUCAUCAGUUCAGUGCAGGUGAUAAAUCACACCCGAAAACCCGGGAAAUUUAUAUCAUGUUAGAAGAUAUGAUUCAAAGGUUACAAUCAGCGGGUUAUGUUCCGAAUCUGUCUGCACAAGUGUUUCCUGGGGACGAUGCUGGGGUCGAGUUGGAGAAGGAGCAGGCAUUGUUUUCGCACAGCGAGAAGCUGGCAGUCUGUUUCGGACUUCUAAGCACAAAACCUGGUAAGCCUCUGUAUAUUUUCAAGAACAUACGCAUAUGCCGUGACUGUCAUGCUGCCAUUAAGAUUGUUUCCAAGAUAUACGAUCGGGAAAUCAUAGUCCGAGAUCGGAACCGGUUUCAUUGUUUUAAGCAGGGAUCAUGUUCUUGUUCUGAUUUCUGGUGACCAUUGCAUUGAGUGAAACUAACUUCUAAAUUAGGCUUAAACAUUUAGUCCUUGGACCUGUACCAUGCCAAAAAUAUUGCUCUUUCUGUCCCCCCCAAUACAAAGAUGUAUUUAUUCCCAUUGUUUUAGCAUUUGAUUUAAUUUUAUAUUUGAUGUCUACAUUUCCCCGCGGUUACAAUCACAUCCACAUCGACUCACUUAAUAAUCAUAUUGUAUUGAAGGCAUAAUGGUAAAUUUAAUUUUCAACAUAUAUAUAUUUGUCAAUUAGGUUUUUAUAUUUAUUUUCAAUAAAUUUAGUUAUUAAUCUUUCAAAAAAGUCAAAUCAAUUUUUUAGCGGAAAUAGUGACUACAAAAUUAUUAUUUUUAAUGGUGUUGCGUGAUAAUUUAUAUGAUCAUUCACAUGUACUUCAUAUUGAGAUAAUAAUAUUUGUACACAUGAAUUGUAUGCAAGUUGCCAUAUUUAAAAUUUUAACAUAAGUCAAAAUUUACAUUUAAAAAAAAAAGAACAAUUUGAAACAAAAUUUAAAUGUUAACGGUUAAAUUUAACUCUUUUUAGAAGAUUGAGAGUUAAAUAUUAAAAAAAUAAAAAAUAACAAAUGGGGCAUUUAAAGUUUAAUUUGACUAAACAAUUAACACGGGGAUGUAGCUCAAAUGGUAGAGCGCUCGCUUUGCAUGCGAGAGGCACGGGGUUCGAUCCCCCGCAUCUCCAUUUUUUUUAUUCAUUCUUUUCAAUUAUAUUUAUCAAUUAUCAAUAAUAUCCCUACAAGUCAGAUAUUCCAAAUAAAUAAUAAAUCAGUAUCCCCAAAAAACAAUGGUGUUAGACUUUCUCUAACUUUGUAAGUUCUUAUUUUUCUCACAUCUUAAAAUGGCAAUGCAUAUCAAUGCAACAGUUUUUUUACUCUGUUACUUUCAAAUUUGCUGAAGAUGUGGAAAACCCGGCCUAUACGCGUUUACCGGAUCUCUCCCUCUUGAAUUUGCUAUAAUCCGCGAGCAAGCUACCGUCUACUUUCUGCUUCAUGCUCUCAACCAGCUUUGUCAUUACCUGUCAACAAUACGACUUCCUGAGAUUCGUUACUAAAAUCAUGCACAACAUAUUGAAUUCAAAGAAUUGCUUAUGGUAUGAAGGUUUUUUUUGAUGUUCUGACCCCUUUUCCGAGACCCUCACGAAUAUUCUCGGGAACCAGAGCGAGUGCAGGAGGAAGGAUGAAUUUUACGUGCAUCUCUAAAUGACCCUUAAGCCUGCUUCUAUGUCUUCUUCUAUCAGGGUAUAAUGUUCCUUUCACAAUAAGUGUGAAAUGAGAUGGAUCAACAACAUUAUCAAGCCCUUGAAGCUCCCAUCUUGUCUGCAAAACACGAGCUUUGUAUCGUAUAAGAGGAAUGGAUGAUUCACAUAAAAAUUAAAGAACUUUCAGUGCAAUGUGCAAAGCUUUGUUUACAAUGUCGAGCUCGAGAACUUUUGUGAUAUCGUGAGGCACUUCCGGUGGGUAAUCUCUACCUCCUGAUUUGCAUCUCAACCUUAAGUCCACUACCGGCCAUACAUUUAGAACCAAUAACUGCAGAGGCAACAUCUGAAUUCUCCAUUCGUCCUGCACAAGUUUGACAACCACAACUACACGUGAGCAUGAGGUUCAUAACUGGUACUUAUAUGUUAGCAUGAAAUACACGUGGCACAUGACAAGUUAUGAACCUCCAAAACCCCAAGCUUGUAUCGAGGAAUAAUGUCUUUCGGAUCAUGCCAUCUAAGAAAAUGGAACAACUAGAAAAUCUAUUAACUCAAGGCUUACCUUAUCUAGCAUUUAUGGUCAAAUUUUCUUAGAAAUAAUGCACUUCUUUCCAUUACAUUGUUGCAGUUCUUUAAGUCCUCGGCAAGUGACAAUGUGUUAAAGGCCGGUGUAGUCAAGUUUUUCGCAGUCAACUAAAGCUAUGUGAACAAGACAGACAAUAUUAAAUCAGCCAAGUACUUUCAAGCCUUUGCCUAGUUCAAACAGCAUACAAGAACAUAUGAAUUUUACUGUUGAACAAUAAGCCAAUUACUACCAAAAGAUUGCUGCUUGAAUGACUCAAGUUAACUACGAUUUCUUCAUUUCUCUUUCAUUCCUCAUUAGGAAAUAAUAUUAGUUCUUCAGACUCCAGCUACCAUGGAAACGAAGACCACAAAACAGGUAUAAGUGUCGGAUAAGGUAUGUGUUCCACAAACGUAUGUUCAACUUUAUAAGUUUUUUCACGUAUUUAGAGAGUACUUCUCUUAAAAGAGAGAGAGAAAGAGCACUUGGAGGGUCAUCUCCAAAUAUGUGUUGGACAUAGGUUCUUCAAGGAAAAAAAGACAAGUGGGAGGAAGAAAUAUAGCUCAUUCCACCAUGUGGAAACCCAACACGCACCAACAAAAUGCCCAUUUUAAAAGGAAACAACAAUCUUUGUUGUGUCAAAGCAUAGCAAAAUAGCUACCAGUUCAUCAAAAUAUUGUAUUCAAUAACAUAAUCCCUUUUUUUCUGGAUUAUUAAUUCUUUUACUAAAUUUGUAGUUUUGGCUACAAUAAUACAUUUUGCAGGCUUCUUACUCUAGUGAAAAUAAAACCAAUUCUGGAUUUCUUUUUUCGGAAGGGAAUGGGGUAAUAUAAUUCGAGUCUGUAUAAACAAGUAUAUGCUAAAAGCUAUAACACCAUUUCUGAAUUAUUGUUGCAGCUGUGUGCAAAUGAAAAAUGUAUAAAUAUAAUAUAUCAUGAUAUACCCACACUUACCCAAAUGGACUAAUAUAAGCUCAAUACAACAACCAUAACUAAGGAAGAAAGCCAAAAGAAAAGGAAAGAAAAACCUGAUUAAGCUGUUGGCUCCUAUCUUGGUCAGGAAACAUUGCCUUAAAAAUUCUGGGUUUAUCCUCCAAAUAUUCAUCAAACAAAGCCUGUUCAAGAAAUCAACCCCACCCACCCACAUUCACCAACAACAUUUAUUAAUCAAUACCCAUUUCAUAUAUAAGCAAGAAAUGAGUUAAUGGGGUUACCCCAGGAAUCUCAUAAAGAGGGAUAUCAGUGGAAAUUCUUGCAGAAUAUGUAGCUGCUAACUCAUUUCUGAUCAAGUAUUUGUGUGCUUUGGACUUGAUAUUUGCGUGGCAUUGGAAUUCGGGUUUCUUCAGCUUCACUUGCCCUUUUCCAUUGCUGAAAUUUUCAGCUCUAAAAGCAUGAAAUGAAGAAACAAUAACUUCACUCAUUAUCUGGAAUUUCCUUUUCGAAAUUCAAAGUUCGGAAAAUAAAGACUUAAUUUUUUUUAUUUUUUUUGGGGUCCAUUGAUUGAUUAAGAGAGUGAAAGAUAAGCAUAUCUGAUGUGUCACUAUUUUUGCUUACAUGGCAUUGGCAUGUUGUUUGGAGAUUACAUGCGUGAGCAACUCUAAAAUAGUAGGCCACUAUGAAAUAAUUAAUAUUUUUUAUUUUUAUUUUUAUUUUUAAGAAUUUAAAUUAUUUCUUUUUUUUGGAGUUAAAAAAUUCAAAUACAAUUAGAAUUUUUAUGUUAAAUUUAUUAGUGUUACGUUUUGAAAUUAAAAAAAAAUUCAAUAUUCAUGUAAUAAAAAAAUAAUAUUGUAAUGAAUUUAAAUUUAACAAAAAAAAUUAUAAUGUUAAUUCUUAAAAUUUUACGUCAAUAUUUUAAUAAAAAAAUAUUUAGACUAACUAAUGACAUUAUAAAAGUUGAGGUACCAAACUAUGUCAAAAUUUAAUAUAUAGAUAUUAAAUCUCAAAAUUAAGUGUAGUAUAAAGACCAAAACCGAAAUUUAAGUAUUGUGAAUAGAAACAAUAUGAAAAAGGGAUAUUUGUCAAUAGAAACAAUAGAUAAACUACACCCGAGAUCACUAAACUAUUAGUAAGUUUACGUUCUGAUCAUUCAACUUUAAAAAGUUACAAAAUGAUCGUUGAACUAUUAAAAUCACUCUUGUAUGGUUUUUUCCGUUCGCACUGCCUGCACCAAUUGAUAGUUUUUCUUCCCCUUCUCUUCUAAGUCUAGUUCCUUUCAUGAAAUAGUUUUAAACGUCAUAAAUCUAUGGAUCAAAAUCCAAACAACUUUCUUCUUCAAUCUCCGACGCUAACUAUCAGAUAAUUUUUGUAUCUUAUACGAGCUUACGAAAGUUCUUUUACUAACUCGAAGUCGAAUUAGGACCAAAUUGUAAAGUUUUUAAAAUAUCAGGUUAACGUUGUAACUUCUAAGGUUCCUUGUCGUGACGCAACUCAUUGAUUUAAUCUCGUCGCAGUAUUAAGAGGCCAAUGUCACGACGUGACCGUUUGUUUCCAAAAGAUCCAAUUAGAUACCUAUUCAAUUUACCCAAACAUACAAGCUAAUUCUUCCAUUCAUUCAAGUAAGUAAAAACACCAUAAUCAUAUGCUCAUUUCUAUGCAUUUAACGCUACUUUACGUAUACAUUACAUCAAACACCAUUCCUAUUUGCUACCAAUGACAUUUUCCACAUACCAACUAUUUGACCAUUUAGUAGCAAUUCAUUACAUCCAACCUAAAUAUCACAUAUGCAUACCAAUUUCAUUUCAACUUCAACAAUCUCAAUACACAACAUAAACAAUACCAAUCGGCCAUAUCAAGUUAACCAUUACUAGCCUAAAUAUCAAAACAAAAAGGACUAUACAAACAUUGUUGAGUCGAGGAUCACUAGCUGAAUGCUGAAUCAUGUCUCAGGCUUCGAGAUUUACCUAAACCUGCGCAUAGAAUAAACAAAUCAUACGCUGAGCAAUAAAGCUAAAUAGUACUUCCAUGAUUUAAGUCAAUAUAACAUAAGUGCUAAACAAAUGAAUAUAAUCAAUUCAAGUUCAAUUUUUAGCCAUAUUACAUACACAUACAUGCCAAAAGCUAUCAAUAUAAUAUGAAAUAUGCAUAUAACCAUUUUUAUACAUCAACUCAUUUUAUAUUAACAUUUAACUCAUUUUAUAUUAACAUUUAAACUUAUUAUAUCAUGCCAUUCAAUGUUACAGUAAAAUUGACCAAAUCAUACCAUUUGUUAAGUGCCAAUCUUUAUCAAACAUGUAUACCUUUGACAUUAAACUAUUCAAUUUUCAUGUUCAAUCAAUACCAUUAUCCAGUUAACUUACCAUCUGAAUCUCUUUCUGGAGUUUAUUGACUCAUUCAUAUUUAAUAUUGUUCCUAGGGUUCGAUUCUAAACAGAUUGCAUAAUCUUUUAUAUACUUCCUUAUCGUGAAUUAUUUAUAUGCACUCAUAUAGUUUCAUAUUAUCACAUCAUUCCAUAUACUAUUAUCAAUUCAUAAUUUCAUACCAUUUCAAUUCAAAUCAUACAUUAUAAUAGUUUACCAAAAUUCAUUUAAUUUCAUUUUCCGAUUUCAAGUUUUGAUUUCAAUGUUUUGCCUAAUAGAACUAUAGUAAAACGGACUUGGAUACACAAGUGAACUACAUCACACCAAGAUAGCUCAUAUGAACAAAACUACAGCACACCAAAGCACCGAAGUGCCAAGCCCGUAGGCAUCAAAUGCAUGUUCAUAUACAAAUACAUCCCUUCACCACACCAUAGUCUCCGUAGAGACAAAUAAUAUCGAUGAUCCGCAAGAGAUUCUGGAUCUCGAUAUAACAUGUCAUAACCUCCAUAUCAUCAAAUAUCCCGUAUAAAUGCGCAUAAGACCUUAUUGGCAUGCCAAUCGUAUCCUAACCUUUUACUAAGUUCACACGGGCAUCAAAUAUUCAUAUUUGCAUUAUCAUACCCUGUAAUCAUUUCCAUUUACCUAUCAUAGUCUGUAAUCGGUCACAUUUUUUAUUUUCAUACCUUGUACAUUGUACUAUCACAUAACAAUCAUUAAUCUCAUUUAAUUUCAAUUCAAUCCAAUUAAUAUAUAAUUUCACAUUCAAUUUCAAAAUCACAUUUCAAUUCAUCAUCUACACACAAUAUCUCAUAUCAUAUAGCAUGUUUCAAGCCAUUCUUACAUUCCAAAUCAUGUCCUGCUAAAUCAUACAACUUUUCAUUUUAUUCAAUUCAGUCCACUAUCUCGAUAAUCAAUAUCAAUCAUAGCAAAUCAAUCCAUAUGAUCAUUAUUAACAACCUUGAUACUCAAUCAUGUAAUAUAACAUGAAUAUUGUAACACCCCUAACCCGCAUCCGUCAUCGAAACAGGGUUAUAAGAUGUUACCGAAGUUUACGGAACAAUUAUACAAAAAUUCCAUUAUUUACCUAUAUUCGCAUCAAAGCUGUCUACUCGAGUCAUAUUCACUAAAUUAUUUAUAUCUGCAGCUAAGGAACUUUAAAUUAAGAUCCGCUAAUUUUUCUUAAAACUAGACUCACGUAUCUUCCUAGCAUAAAAUUUUCAGAUUUUUUGGUUUAGCCAAUAAGUACAGUUUAUUCUUUAAAAGCUCCCCUAUUUCACUGCUUGACAGUUCCAACCACACUUCACUAAAAUUUAAUUAUAUCUCUGUACAUAAUUCAAAUAAUGUUAUCGGUUGUUUCUACUGAAAAUAGACUCAUUAAGGAAUCUAACCAUAUAAAUUAUGUCCAAUAAUUAUUUUUUUUUACAAUUUUUAAUGAUUUUUACAAGUUAGAACAGGGGAUCUCGAAAUCACUCUGACCUUAUCUCACAAAAAUUCAAAUAUAUCCUGAUAUGAAAGUCUUUUGCUUACACCGUUUCUUCUAUGUGAAACUAGAUUCAAUAGGAUUUAAUUUCAUGUCCUAUUCAGCCCCUAAUUAAAUUUUCAUAAUUUAUGGUGAAUUUUCAAAGCCAAACUACUGCUACUAACCAAAAACUAUUUUAGUACAAAAUAUUGUUAACUAGUUUAUAACAUCUUUACUUCAAUUCAUUUAAACUCUAUACAUGCCAUAUAAAUAUUUAAACAUAAAACAAAAGCUACCGGAAUUGAUCUGGAUAGUGUGCCUUGUUGUGUUGAUCCGAUCUACCAACUUCACUUCAAUUCAAUCUACAUAAAAAUAUCAAACAAACACAAGUAAGCUUAUUGAAGCUUAGUAAGUUCAUAGGUUUAAAAGUAAUGCUUACCAAACAUAAUAUUUCCAAACAAUACCAAAACAUUUACUAAAGUUUUCUGCCAUUCACAACCACUGUUAUAAUACUUCACAUUGUUGAGCUCAACAUUAACAACUACUCAAUCUCUUUCAUUUGGUUCACUUCUCUUGUAUUACAUAUUAUCAAAUUAGGAAACGACUUACGAAAUUGAGUACGUCGUUGUUCAGUGCCACGAUUCAUAACUCAGUAUGGUUUUCCUCAUUGAAACACCAUACCUACAUUUUACAACUCGGUAUGGGAAAUGCCAUACCUAUGUUUCUUAACUCAGUAUGGAUUUGAUAAUACCAUACCUACAUUUCACAACUCAGUAUGGAUGAUACCAUACCUACAUUUCACACUUUGCCAUGGAACAACCAUGGUCUUAUCCGUCAAUUCAUCACAUGUCACGAUACAAAUGUACUCAAUCUUGCAUUUUUCCUAAUUUGCAUUUCCACAUUUAUUCUUUCAUUAACAAAAUUUUCACAAUCCCACAACAAAUUCAUAUAUAAUAACACAUUAUAUCAUUCAAUCAUUCACAAAUAAACAUCUAAAUUCAACCAUAUGAACUUACCCGGCUGAUUUGUAGAAGAUAUUAAAAUUUAAGGAUUAUUCCGCAACUUUUUCUUUUCCUCGUUCUACUUUGGAUUCUUGAUCUAUAAUAUAAAAUAUUUUCACUCAUUAGCAUUUAUUUGAUUUCUAUUUCAUUUCACAAUUUAUGCUCUUCAAAUUUUGAAAUUGUACUUUUACCCCAAAAUUUAUAAUUUUUACAAUUUAGUCCCUGCUCAAUUCACCCAUCAAUUGAACUAAUUUUUCUCAAUCAACAAUUUAUUUUAUCAUUUUAAACUAUUUCAAAACCUUGGAUAUUCAGAAUUUCAACACCAACCUUCAAUUCACAACUUUUUCACAAUUAGGUCCUAAAUACCAUUUUCUAUCAAAAUCACUUAAUAAUACCACCUUAAUAUGAAAUUAGAACUUAAAUUUCAUAAUAAUUCAUCAUAAACUUCCCUUACCCAUCCAGGAUAACUUCCAAUUUCACCCAUAAUAUCAAAAACUACUGAAUUCUAUAAGUGGACCUAAUUGUAAAAGUCAUAAAAACAUAAAAAUUAUCAAAAAAAGAAAGAAUUAAACUCACAUGAUGUAAAAAUAUGAAAAUCCAGCUUUCUCCAGACCUUAUAUGGCGUUUUGGCUGAGAAAAUAUGAAGAGAUCUCUAGAUUUUUCAAUUUUGUCCUUAUUUUAUAUGUUAAAAUUGUAAAAUUUCCAAUUUUUCCCUUAUCUCCGUUAUUUUUCUGCUGAUUUUCUUGCCCUUGCCGUCCAGCCUAUUCACUUUUAGGCUUAAUUUCCCUUUAAAUCCUCUUUCUUUUAACACUUGGGCUAUUUAAUCCUUUUAGCAAAUUUUGUUUUUGUUACAGUUUAGUCCUUUUUAUUUAAUUGACUACUCAAACGUUAAAAUUUCUCAACCAAAAUUUAAUACUAACUAAAUGACAUUCCAUAAAUAUUUAUAAAAAUAUUUAUAGCUUGGUUUUCAAAUUCGAGGUCUCGAUACCUCGUUUUUGACCCGUUUGACCUAAUAAAUUCUUUUAAUUCACCAAAUUCACCAAUUCACAAAUUCUUCUAAAUUCUUAUUUGACUCAUAAAUAUUAAAUUACUAUCUUUUUUAAUCUUACUUGUCGGAUUUAGUGAUCUCAAAUUACCAUUUCCGACACCACUGAAAAUUAGGCUGUUACAAAUGAUAUCUAAGCGCUCUUUUUUUUUUGUUACAAAUGAUACUUAAAUUAUAUUUUAUUACCCAAAGUGGUAUCUAAACUAUUUUUUCUUUAGUUAGUACCUAAAUUAUACUUUGUUAUUCAGAGUGGUACCUAAACUAUACUCAAUUACCUAAAUUACUCAGGCCGUCAAAAAAACUCUUAGUUAAUCAUUUUGUGACACAUGGCAAUUUUUAACUAAAAAUAUAAAAAAAUAUUUAUGAACAUAUUAAUCUCUUUUGUUCUUUACUUAAGAGUUCGAGUGAUGGAAAAUUCCAAAACCUAUCAAAAAAUUCAUCCAAACCCUGUUUUUGGCAAACAUAACCUAGAUUCCAACAAACUUUUUUUUUUCAAUUUUUAAACUUUGAUUCGAUUCUUUUCUCACCUCGAUUUAAAACCUAUCUAUUAGUUUUUAUUAAAAGUAACUUUUUCUAUUAUUUUUUAUAUACUUUGCAUAAAAUAAUUAAUAUUGGGUCAACUUCUAUUAUAAAAAAAAUCUACUAAAACAUGAAACUCAAAUACUAGAAGAAAUUGAGUAGAAAAAAAUGGUAAAAGAACUGAAAAAAAAAAUCUAACAGUUAAAAUAAACUGCAUUAAAAAAUAAUUGUGGGGAUGAAUAGGGUGUAAGAAGAUUGAAAAGUUUUAAUUUAAUUUAAUUUAAUUUUUAAUUAUUUUUUUAAAUUUAGAAGUGUCGUGUUUUAUAAAAUGAUUGGAUAAGAAGAAUUUUUAACGGUUCUGGUAAUUUGGGUAAUAGAAUAUAGUUUAGAUGCUACUUUAGAUAAUGGGGUAUAAUUUAGGUACCAUUUUUGAUAGAAAAUGUUUAGGUACCUAAUUGAGAAAAAUAAUAUAUUUUAGGUACCGUUUUAAGGAACGAAGUAUAAUUUAGAUACCACAAAAAAAGUUAAAUACCAACAUAGAAAAAAGUGAAUAAUUAAAAUACCAUUUGUGAUUUAAGCAAAAUAAAUGGGACAAAAUCAUUUUGAAAUGAAUAUAGAUGUCAAAAAUAAAUCUAAAUUUCAUUUCUGUUAAGCUUAAAUAAAAAAAAAUGUUAGAAUAUAUGUUAAAUUAUAUUGUCUAACCCUAUUCAUAUGGUAAAUGGUUAAUAUGCAGUUUACUUUUUAAAUUUGUCUACAAGUAUUUAGUUGGAACUUAAAUUUCUUUUAUAUUUAAUUGAUACUUAAACUUGUAUUACGUUGCACACAUUGCCCCAAUUUGUUAACAAUGUUAAUUUUUAAAGGUUAAUAUGUAGUUUGCCUCAUGAAUUUAUCCAAAAAUACCUAAUUGGUAUUUAAACUUGUCCAAAAAGUUAAAAUUUUUAAAAUUAAUUUAUAUUUUUUAAAAUAUUUUUUUAUUUUUUAACAUAUGUUCGAUAUGUGUUAUACUGAUAUGCUUUCACAUGUUACUAUAAGAUUAACUAUUAACUAUUGGUGUCACGCUAACACAAAGUAAUGAUGUUAGGGUAAAGAUUAUAAUUUAAAUAGCAAAUUACAAGUUUAAGUUUAAGUAUUAACGAGGUAAAAAAGAAUUUCAGAUACUAGACAAAUUUAAGGAUACAUAUUUUUCGAUUUAAAAUUAGUAUGAUUUUUCAUUUUCAGCUCAAAUAUCAUAUCAUAAUUCAUAAAAACUCUCCUUUGGUUACAUACAACAUUGUGGAAAUUCUAAUUAUAUCAAGGCAUUGCCUUCAGCCUCCACAAUUACCCAUCUAAAAUUUAGGGUUAUAAAACAAAAAAGGUUUUAGUCAAAACUACCAAAAAAUAGUUAUUUACAUAGAAUAUUCUCAUUCUUAUUCACACGCUUCAUAGGAGAUUCAUUGACAAGUCAAUGGAAAUAUAACCUUCUCAUGCUAGAGGACACGGAGCUGAGCGAGGAAAGCAGCGCAAAGGUCCAAGAAGAGAAACUGUGGCCCCUCAACCCUCUGAAGAUCCAGCAAAUACUUUUCCUCGCGAGUUUUAUAAAGCUAUCAACAUCCAUGGCAGCCAAAACACAAGUUAGCACUAUUAUUUAAGGCAUUCUAUAAUCUACAACUAAGCAUUGCAACAUUACCUGCACUUCAAACUUGACAACAUUUGGGGCCCUGGAAACACCAUCAUUUUCUAUAAUGGUCAAUUCAUAGUGACUGUUGUGCACGGGAUUGUUAACCAAGCCUUCAUUAAGGCCAGGAAUGCUAGCAAGCCACCUACACUUCAUGUUGUAAUGACCAAUUUUCUUCCAAUACACAUUGAGUUCUUGAAAGGCUUUGAGAACUUCUGUCAUGAUUUCACGAGGGUGGGCACGAGACUAGAAAAACAAAAACAACACAAUGUUACUACUCUGCACCUGCUACAUACUAAAUGUAUAAUCCAAUUGUCCAAUCUUUUCAACUAGUAAAGGUAUCAACCAUUUUAUCUUUCUGAUUAUAAAUCAUUCACACUGCCAAUCAUUUUUGAAAUAAAAGCAUAAACCUCAGAAUGCCUACACAUAUUUAACUAUAAAUAAAACAGAAAAGACUCUGGGAAAACCGCUUGAAAAGCACAAACUCAACCUGAAGUCCAAGAGCCCACUUUCUUUCAAGGCCCCUUAAACCCAUUGUUUGAUAAUCAGCAUAUCCUGUAAGGCGGUGUCCAACAGCUGGAACUGUAGGUUCAUUUGGAUGGAUGCGAUUGAAGCCAGAUUCCUAACAAUUAUUUUUAAAAAAAAAAUUAGAAUUCCACCCAAUAUGGAAGUCAGCAAAAUAAAACUAGUAAAAGAUUAUGUGAAUCAACUAAAUUAACAGAAAUAGGUCUCAACGGUGGACUCUAUUAAAUAAUGAUUGAUGAGUUUUUCAAAAUUCAAUCAAAGAGGCAGACUUAGAAAAGAAAUAUUAGAAAUAAAUUGAAAAAGAAAAAAUAAAUACGCACCAUAGUUUCUUGAAACUCAGCUCCAAGAUAGCCACUGGAGACCCGGAACAGAUUGUCCAAUAGUAAGUAGUAAGCAACAGUUCCCUGGAAGAUAAUCAGAUGCAAUAAGAAACAGUCUAAACAAACAUGAAAACAAGGAGUUGGAAAAGUUCAAACCUCAUUUUGAAUUCUGUUCCGAAGAGAUUCGACCAAAUGGUUCCGGUCGAAUCCCAUCCUAAUCACUUCCUGAAGGAUCUCCUCAUCAAUCUGUAAUUACAUUUCAAUCAGAGAGUAGAGCAUGACAAAAGUAUGAAAAUAUCUAAUAUGGCAGAAUUCAAAAAUUUUGGGGCACCACCAAAUGGCUCGCUAAAACUUAUUUAUAUGAUCCAGAAAGCAUUUCGAUGAGGCUUGAGGCAGUAACCGAGAAUUGGAUGUUAGGAAAUAGAUAAUAGUAAGGAAACAACUUAUCCGAGCAAAGCUAUUUCCCAGAGUCAAAUAACAAGCAAGGAGAGCUCGAUAAUUCAAAAUUAUCCCAUUUUAACAUAACAGCAUAAGUGCUCAAAAGGUUUUCCCCAGGAUACAAACCUCUGGAACCAAAAUGUAGCAGAACCACAUUCAAAAGCCGGAAAGAGUUCAUAAUUUUAGGGCAUACAGUCCAAGCUAUAUUUAUUCAACCAUAAUGGUCAACUUUCACAUCAUGCCAAUCCUUUUCAGGGUUUAAUAUAGCAGUACAUAGGCAAAUUUACAACUAAGUUGAAUCAGGAAAAAAAUAUCAACAACCUUUUUUGCUUGUUGCAUUGAAUCUGGUGGGGGGACAGCUAAAUAUCUUGGAAGAUGCGCUUGAAACCAUGGGUGCUGGCGAAUCUCAGGAAUGGUCAUUCUCUUCAUUGGAUCAACUACAAGCAUCCGUGGGAUUAAAUCUCUAGCACCAGGAGAUAAAUGGCUUGGAAGAGUAUAUAUGCCACCCUGAAGGACAUAAUACAAAUUCCAAGCAAUCAGCACUUUCAGGAUUCAAGCAAGAAACAGGGUUGAAAGCAUAUUCUGUAGUUUAGGGAGAAAACAGCAGCAAAUCUAGAGAAUUAAUGCUGAAAAUACAAGAACGACAGAAGUUGGAACAUUAGAAAGCCAUAAGGUUAUAAAAACCUCUAAUUUCUGAAGACUUUUAAUUUAGAGAAAAAUGGUAAUGUUGCCUGUAAAGUUAUUUUAUAGCUUAGUUAUACUAGGGUUAUAAAUAAAGUUUUAGUCCUAAAUCUGACUUAGAAUCCUAAACAUCUAUCUAUAUGACUACUAAUAAAUAAAUAAGAAAAAUAAUAAAAUAACAUAAUAGUAAAAAAAGCUCCUGUAUCAAAUAUGUUAUUUAGAAAUAAUUGACAGGGUAGAGAAACAACGUCGUGAAGAUCAGAUACCAUAAGCAAAAAAUAAAGAGCUAUCCAUUAUUGUGAUCCAAGAGAUAUCUUAGACAAAAAACAUGAAAAUUUUAUGCUACAUACCUUUAUUUUCUUAAAGAGGUUGGGAAUGUUUUCAUCAUCAAAAGGAAGAGUGCCGCAAAGAAGGGCAUACAAUAUAACACCACAGCUCCAUACAUCCACUUCAGGUCCAGCAUACAGUUUCCCAGAGAUAACCUAUAACAAUGGAGAUCCAUUUACUCUUGGGUAAUAUCAUCUUAACAUAAUAAAAUUUUCUAUUAAGUAAAAGAAGACCACAUUCCACCUUUUCAAAAUUAUAAAUGUAAGAUAUUCAUCAUUGAUUCACAAACUCCUACCUCUGGGGCAGCAUAGUUUGGGCUUCCACAACUUGUCUUCAGAAAAUGACCAUCUCUCAUUAUGUUGCUCAAGCCAAAAUCAGCAAUCUUCACAUUGCAUUUGGAAUCCAGAAGUAAAUUUUCAGGCUUAAGGUCUCGAUGAACCACCAUGUUUCUGUGGCAGUACUCCACCCCUGAAAUUAUCUGCAUCCAAACACAGAUUUCAUACUAAUAGUUUCCUAGGAAAAGAAAAUAAAUAAAUACUAAUACACAAGAACACAAACCUGCUGGAAAAAGUUGCGAGCCUCGUCUUCCUGCAACCUUCCUUUCUCUACAAUAUAAUCAAAGAGUUCUCCAGACUUCACAUACUCCAUAACCACAAAAAUGUCAGUUGCUGUCUCUAUCACCUCAUAGAGUCGAAUGAUGUGAGGAUGCAUAAACAAUCUCAAAAUUUUAAUCUCUCUUCUAACUGCACCAAAGUAUAAGCCUCUGUCAAUAAAUAAUACCAUAGAAUUUGAUUACCAUAUGCAAGAAGUCACGCGUAAGACAAGUCGAGAAAUCUUCUUGUUAGAGGAUUAUUUAAUUUCGAUUUUUUGGAUUUAGUUCUAAUUGUUUCCUAGAAUUUCCUUAUUAAUAUAACUAAAACUCUCUAAAUAAAUUAGGAUACUUUGCAGUCAUAUUUUGUUUUCCUUACAAGAACAUGAAAUUAGGAUUUUACAUCUUAUUUCCUAAUUUGUAAACCUUCAUUUAAGAGGAAAUUAUUUAUGAGUGUUGAAGUUUCAAAUUAAAGGUAGGCACUCCCUUACUGUUCUAAGAGGCACGCACCAUAGGCAAAAACAGGAAUCGACUUAUGGGCAAGGGCCCUUGCUUUGAAUCUGAUUUUUGUGUAAAAUCAUCCGAAGACUCAAUCCCAAAUUCAGGAACAUAACAUGCUAAAGGUUCCCUCUUUAUUUUACUCAAGUAAUUGUUUCCAACCUAACAGCAAUAAAUAAUAAUGAAAUUUGGUCUUCCAAAAAAAUGAUCUUUUUCUUCGGAAAAUAAAGUCACAAGUAGCAAAAACAAUAAGCACACUGAACUUAAGAAAUUCGAUUCUUCAAUAUGAAAAACAUAAAAAUCAUUCAGAAAAAAAAAAACCAAGUGAGCAAUAAAUUAAGAAACGAUAAACUAGAAAUAAGAAAAAGGAAUCUUUAUUCAAAUUAACAAUAUUCCUAUCUUUUCUACUUCAAAAACUAAACAAAACCCAAAAGAUUUCAAUCAUUAAAAACCAAAAAACUAAAUUGAAUCAAACCUUUUUCCUCCAUCUCCAUAUUCUUAAUCUUCCUUCGGUUAAGAAUCUUAAUGGCAACUUUGUGACCAGUCAAAAUGUGCUCAGCAAUUUUGACCUUUCCAAAAGAACCAAUUCCAAGCGUUUUUCCAAGCUUGUAAUUAGGUAAUACAUUAUCCACUCCACUUCCUCCUCUUCCGCCCGAUCCAUCCAUUACUCCCCUUAAACCAGAAAAAAAAAGAGAAAGAAAAUCAAAAUCAAUUAAAUUAGCCGUUAAAACAUCAUGAAAAGUAAGUAGUAGAAGAUUACCUGAUUUGAUCGGAAAUGCCUAGGCUAGAGUUUCUUUUAUUGUAGAAUCCGAACGGUGAAGAGCGAAAGAGAACGAAUAAGAGAGGGAUUUCUAAUUGAUUAUUCUUAGCAGUUAAAAUUAUAAGCUUUUCUUUUUCUUAUUUUUUUUUUCGGGGGGAGGGAAGUUUUAUUGAUUCGUGGGGGAGAUGGUUUGCCAAAUUUGCCCUUUGGAAUUGACAGAAUGACCGUGAUGUGUCCCAUUUUCUUUGUCCUUUUCUGUACUUUCAGGGGAUGUUUUCGAGGGGGCAUUAAAAUAUUCGGAUCGGAACUUUGGAUUGGUAUCAAUCAAAUCUAUUUAGAUGGGAGUUCGGUAAUAAUACCUUAUUAUAUUCUAUUUGCAUUUUAUCCCUCUAAUUUAAAAAAAAAUUUAUUUUAAUUUUUUAUUUAAUUUUUUAAACUUACCUUCAAAACAUCCCAGAAUGGAUAAAAAUUAACAUCUGUUCUUUUAGUUGAUGUGUCAUUUAUGUGGACCCCACAUCAUCAAUUAAUUAUAUUUUUAAAUUUUUAAAAUUUUAAAAUUUUAAAAAAUUAUAUAAUUAUUUUAAAAAUAUUUUUAAUAUAUUUUAUUUUUAAAAUUAAUUAAUUACUUAUGUGACAUACACGUAAAUACCAACGUCAGUAAAAUUAAUAAAAAUUAAUUUUUCUAUCUAUUUUGAGUGAUUUGAUAAUAAUGUAAGUUCAAUAGCUAAAAGAAACAAAAAAAAAUGAAAAACUAAAAUGACUUUUUUUUUUAUAAAAUUGAAAGAUCAAAUAAGUCAUUAUACCUUUUUUGUUAAAAGAUAAAUAAGUUAACAUAAAUAACAAAGAUUGAAGUCCUAACAGAUUAAUGUUCGAAUCUCGCCAUUCGUAAUUGUCAAUCGAGUUUUAUAACAUUAUUUAAAAAUCAACUUUUUUUUUAACUAUUGCCAUGUAAUUUUUGCUAUCAUCAUGUAUUUUCUACAUUAAUAAAUGGUAUAUUCGUGUUUUGAAUACAAAAUCCUUCAUUUAUUGUAGAUCCUAUUAAGGGCGAAGUUAGAAAUUCUUUUUGAAAAGAUCAAAAUUAAAUUGUAUAAUUUUACAAUAAUAAAAAUGUAAUUUCGCCAUUUUAAUAGAUUAUAUUUUUAUAAUUUUUAAAUGAUUUUUAUCAUUUUUGGGUGGCAAAAGUAUAAUUUUACCAUUAUUAAUUUAAAAUUUUAUAAAUUAUAAAGGGACCUAAAUAAAAAAAAUUUAUUUUAAGGGGGGUCGGGGCCUUUGUCAACCCCCUUGGUUUCAUCACUACAUCGUAUGAGUAUGCACACUAGUAAUACAAUAUAACUUAUGUCCCAUUCUUCAUCGCCUUUAAGGGUUUAAAAGUGUUUUUCCACUACAGAAGCAAUGAAGAAUACCCGAUUUUUUGAGUCAAAAUUGCGGUAAAAAAGUGAUUCCCCACCCAAACACAAAAAAUGCUUAAAAUACUAUUAUUUAUAUUAAUUAUAUAAAAGGUAUAUAAAAAUUAGAUUAAUUUAUAUUUAAUAUAAUAAUAUAUUUAAAUAUUUCAUGUAUCAUUAUAUUAAUCUAUUUAAAUAUAAUUUAUUAUUAUAUUUAAAUUUUUAAAAUAUUUUAUGUAUCAUUACUUUUAUAAAUAAUUAAUUAAAAUGUAUUUAAAAUUUAUACUUUAUAUACCAAUGUAUUAACUUUUAUGUAAAAUGCCCUAAAUAGGCAUCUUGACCACCCACUUUAACCCUUUGAUAAGAAGUAUUCUUUUGUUAAAUUGCUAUUAGUUAGGGGUUGGAAGGACCUGGUUCUCUUAAAAUAGAAAAUUUUUUAUUCACCUUCUUAAAAAUUUUUAAAAAUUUAAAUUAGUAAAAGUAAAUUUUCAUUUUGACCCCUAGAAAUGAUAAAAGUUUGAUUUAAUCAUUUAAAAAUUAUAAAGAUAUAUGCUAUUAAAAUUGUGAAAUCACAUUUUUACUAUCAUUAAAAUUACAAUUUAAUUUCAACCUCUAAAAAAUUUUCUAGCUUCACCCUUGAUGUGUAUAUUUUAUGAGAGUUUGAAGUGAAUCCUUCUCUUGAUUUUCAAGUAGAUCCCUAAGGGUUGGGUAAUUCAUUUUAACUUAAUUUAAAUAAAUUUAUUUGGUUGAAUUUAUUUCAAUUCAUCCAAUUCCAUAAAAUUUGAAAUUGAAUUUGAUUGAUUGAUAAAGUAUGACUAACUCCUCUUCUAGUAUGUGUGAUCAAAUGGUUAAAUUAUCUAUGAGCCCCUGUAAUAUUCCCACAACAACAAUAAAAUCCUUAUAUACAAAACUAAGUAGGUUAAAGUAUUUUACGCAAUUUGACAAUGAAGUUACAACUAGAAUUUAAUCUUGUAAUUAGAACCAUUUCAAUACACAUGGGUUGAUAAAUUUUUGGGUAAACUAUACUAUCGUUUAUCCAAUUAUGCUUAAGUUUCUUUUUCGAUUAUCCAAUUUUUAAAAUUAUUAAAAUGGUGAACCAAUUAAUCAGGUUUUCUUUUUCCUUUUUUUUUGUAUAUUUCAAUUAAGUGCUAUUAAGUGUUUUUUUUUCUUUUUUGAAUUAUAAGAAUAAGGCAAAGUCCGAACAAUAAACACGAUUAGUGCGACUCGAACCCAGGCCACACAGAAGGUAGUGAACACCCUGCCCAUCAGGCCAUCACAUGGGUUCAGUGCUAUUAAGUGUUUGAUGGGAAGGUGAGCUGAUAGAUCAAAAAUUGAAUUUAGCCCUCAACUUUUAUUUAUUUUGUCAAUUUAAUCAUAAUAAUUUUUAAAAAAAAUCAACCAUUGAUAUUACAUAUUAUCUCAAUUUAGUCCUAAUGUUAAAAAUUUUAAAAAAAGAAAUAAAAACAAAAACACAUAAAUAUUUUCAACAAAUAUAAUAAAUUUAAAAAAGUGAGAAUAUUUGAUGCAUUGUCGAUACAUAAAGUCUCAUGCAUCAUCGAUGAAUAAUAACAUGACACCUCAUCAUUAAAUAAAACAAAAAAUAGUGGAGGGCUUAUAAAUAAAUACCAAAACCCGAGACCUUAGAUCCUAAUUCAAAAAGAUAUUGAUAUUUAUUUAAAAUAGUUUUGAUUAAUGUUUAAUUAUGUUUGAAUAAAAUUAUUAGUAUUUAACCAUAGGUGUUAGUUGAGAUGGCAAUGGUUUCUCCUAAUUUAAUCAAUAGUCAAGGGUUUGAUCUUCACUUUUAGUUUAGAGCAACUUUAAAACUCGUUGUUAGUAUUUAUCCCCUUAAUGUUCUCAAAGAACGCAGAGGAUUGGCCACUCGGCUUGCUUAAGUAGAUACCUCAGGAAAUAAAAGAAUUUAUUAGUAUUUAUUUACAAGUCCUCUAUAAUUUUUGUUUAAUUUAAUGAUGAUGUGUUAUGUUAUUAAUCAUUAAUGAUGCAUGAGACUAAUGUAUUGAUGAUACAUCAAAUAUUAUUUCAUUAAAAUUAUAUAAAAAGUAAGAAAUAUUUUACUUUGUAUUUUAUUUAAAAUAAUAAGUAAAUCUAAUAAAAAAUACACUUCCCAAAUAAAAAAAAUUACUCAAACUUUAGACUAAAACCAUAUCCCAAAUAAGUCUAUUGCCAUUGGCAUGGCCUCCAUAUACGAACGUAGAUGCAGAGGGAAUAGCCGGAUGAGAGGAGGUGAGAAGCCAUGGCUACACAUAAAAAAGUAUACUAGUAUAAAGCUUGAGCAAUUUUUUAUUUGAUAUAUGUGUUUUUUAUUAUUAGAUGAACUUAUUAUUUUAUAUAAAAUACAAUGUAUUUUUUUAUUUUUAUGUAUUUUUAUAUGUUUGAAUUUUUUAGAAUUUAACCCAAUUGAGAUAAUAUUAAAUGUUGAGGGUUGAUUUUUUUUAAAAUAUGACUAAAUUGAUAUAAUAUAUAAAAAUUGAGGGUCAAAUUUAUUAUUAUAUCAAUUUUUAAACCAUCAUCUCACACUUAACAGAAAAGGAAAACAAAAAAACCCAAUUUGGUGGGUGACUAUUGUAAAAGUGCUAAAAAUUGAUUACCAAAAAAAAAAACAAACUAAACUUAAGCAUAGUUGAGUGAUUUGUACUUUGAACCAUUAAGGCUAUAAUAUUUAUAUACAUUUGAUAUUAAUGCAAAUAAAAUAAAAAUAUUAAUAAAUAAUAAACACCUGUUAUAAGCAGUAAAUGACAAACUCCAUCAAUACAAUAAUAGCUUCAGCCUUAGUAUAAAUAGAAUAUUAUAAUGCGUUGACAAUUGACUCUGUUUCAAUUCAAACACAAUAUAUUUAGAGUGAUUACAAUAAGGAAAUCAACUCUUGAUGGUCCAAAGCGGUAGGCAUAAAUUGGAAAAGGAAUUGAACAUCUACCAAACUAGAAAGGACGGCGACAAAACUAGCAUUAAAAUCACUCGUAAAAGCAAGACAAAAAAAUGUAUUACAAUAGUAGACAAAAACUUCUAAAAAUGAGACUUAUUAAACAAUGAAAAAAAAAAUAUAAAACUUACGGUAACAUGGGUCCAAACCGAUUCAUGAAAUCAUUUAUUAUUCUGAAAUACUUUUAAAAUAUAAACAAAUUAAAAAGCCAAUGAAGAGCCACUCACUUUCUAAAAGAAAUUACUAGUAGUCGGUGAUGUUUUAAUAAUAAUAAGUAUCAUCAUCUGCCUAUCAUAAUUUUUAAAGAUAAUAAUGAUACUUAUAAAAUAAAUCUCUGUAAAUUAAAAAGAGAGAAAACAUUGUGAAUGAAAAAAAAAAAGAGAAGAUAGAGAAAAAAAAAGUAAUCUAUAACUAACCCGAAAACUAAUACGGUCGGCAAAACAAAAACAAUAAAAAAACUAACGACUUUUACAUUUACUCCUUAAAAAUAAAGAAAUCAAAUAUUAUAAAUUAUUAUUACCUAAUCAUGAUCCAACGAAAUCGGAGUAUUCAACCGAACAACAAAUGCUCCACCGGAAAAACUAAGGUGGCACCUUCAGACAAGACAGAAAGCUCUAAAUCUUUGUUCCAAAAAUAGUAAACCACCCACCCAAUAAAGAAAUUUUGCAAGAUGAAAGCUAAAUUCUAGGAGGAAAAAAAUCCGUUAAUUGGUUUUAGCCUUUAAAUUCUCUCCUCUCACUUUUACUUAUCUGAAACGCCCACUCCCCCACCAAAGAUUUUUUUUUUGUUUAAAGAAUUGCAGCUUUACUGCUUAUGAUUUACGAAUGUACUCCUAUAUGACCCAAUCUUGAUGCUUUGACAUAUUCUUGCUUUUAUCUUUUGUUUCCUUCUCGUCUACAUACUCUUAGAAAUAGACCCCAUUGCUAAUAAAAGGCUGGGGUCUUUUCUAGGGGUUUAUUUGUUCUAAAGGUAUCCUAUUUUUUAUUUUAUUUUGAUCCAUUUUUGUUUACUUUUCUCGGUUUUUCUCUGUUUUUUUCUUCGUUAUGUUUUCCGUUUUUUCUUAUAUUAUUCAUUUCACAUUGCUUUAAUUAAUUUUUUUCAAAAAUUAAGACAAUAAUUUGGUGUUAACAGUGUUGUGCAAUAAAGCUGUUUUAAUGGGGAGUUGCGUAUCAACAUCGGAUAAAAGAAUUACGACACAAAAAAGAAACCGCCCAUGGUCAAAGAAAUGUCUUGGGAAGCUUUCCGGUUCGGUCUCCGAUGGAAGCAAGAAAAGGAAAAGCAAUGGUUGUGUAACAGAUAUAGCUGUUAGCGAAUAUGUUCGUAUGGAUUUCGAGAAGGGUGCAACCACUACUUGUAGAAGAUCUGAGGUUUCCAACUCUACAUUCCAUUUAACCCAAUUGCAAUGGCAUCUUAGCCAAAUGGAUGCCAAAGGUACCUAACUUCUAUUUAUAUUAAGAGUUCAUAUGCAUGCUAUUCGAGUUUGAUUUUAAAAAAAUAGUUCCACCAAUUUUUAUAGAAAGGACUCAAGCUAACAAGCAAGUUGAAUUCACUUACUAUGAUACUUGAAUUAUGGGCCAAUUUGAACACUAUCAUUAGGGUUGUAAAUGAAUCAAAUUGAAUGGAACGAAUCUUUAAUAUGUUCAUUUGCUUAUUUUUAAGUUUGUUUGUGUCUAGUUUGUGGUCAUUAAAGUUUAAAAUUAUAUAUAAACUAAUAGAACAAUAAAUAAAUUUUAACUGAUUUAUUAAAUAAGAUUGUUCAUCAACAUAAACAAACUGGAGAAGCUUUACUAGUGCUCAGUUAAUUUAUUUAGCUUAAUACAUGAACAAAAAUAAACUUUUAAGUUGAUAAAAAUGAAAUUUGAUUCAAACAUCGUAUUUGGAAAAGAUGAUUGACGAAAAGAAGUAUGGUACUUUGCAGUAUCUUGCCAUGAGGAUACUUGGUUUGAUUCAGUUAGUAUUAUGGAAUCGGAAUCAGAUGAGGAAUUCAUCAGUGUUUAUGGAGGUAACAAGCAGAUUUCACCUCUCUAUAUGUUUGAGUAGCAUAGGGAAUAUAUGACUAUGAGGUAACCUUUUUAUUUUAGAUGGUUUUCCAACAAUGGGCACUGCAAUUGGGAAUAUAUCAAGCGCUCAAGUACUUCAAUACGGAGCUUCAUCAUGCUUCGUGGAAGGCAAGUGCAAAUACGAACAAUACCAUGAAAGUUACCUGAAAAUUGACGGUGGUAGAUUGAGCAAAGAAGAAACGAGAGAAUCCAACGCUCGGUUUUCAACCAUGAGUAGCCAUGGUCAUGAGCUUUCGCGCUUUGGAAAGGAGGCCGAUGACUGGAAGAAGAAGAAGCUAUUGGAUUGUUCUCAUGGAAGCUUUAAAAGUGUGAAAGAUGAAAGGCGAUCUGGCUUUUGUAAAAUGCUUCCUUCUAUCAAUUUCAAUGAGAAGAUUUUGGCAACUCAUAUGGCUUCCCAAUCUCAAAGACGAAAAUCUACCGUUUAUCGGCUUUCUGUUAAGAGGACUUCAUGUGAUGCAGAAGAAUGUAAGUUCUUUUCAUGUUUCAACAUACUCAUCUGUAUCUAAUACUCACAUCUGCAUAUGCAGAUUCAUCGAAACAAUUUUUAUAUCGUCCAAGAGCAGGAUAUGCAAUUCCAUGCAGCAAGGAUGAGAAAGCAAAUAGAGGCUGUUGGUCUCAGAUUCCAUCUUCAAAGUUUCAACUUCGUGGCGAGACCUAUUUUAAGUACGAUGACUCUUAUCUAUGUUGCUUGGGUUCUUCAUUUUUUCUGAUAUGCUUAUGAUUUAUUUGGCAUACAGAGAUAAAAGGAAGUGUCCUGCAUCCGAUUUCUCCCCAUAUACUCCCAUAGGUGUUGAUUUAUUCAUAUGCCCAAGAAAGAUAAAUCACAUUGCUCAACAUGUAGAGCUUCCUCAUUUCAAACCAAAUGGGAAAAUCCCUCCUCUUCUAAUUGUAAACAUUCAAGUAUGUUUUGGAAUGGGUUUGACUCCAUUUUAUCCUGCUUUCUUAUAUCAAUAUCGCACUUAUUAUGUAUGCUUUUGCAGUUGCCGACUUAUCCCGCUGCAAUGUUCCUCGGCGAUGGCGACGGUGAAGGAAUGAGCCUUGUUCUUUACUUCAAAGUUUCCGAGGAUUUCGACAAUAACAUCUCUCCUCAAUGUUUGGAAAACAUUAAGGUAACUUUAUCGAAUUUAUGUAAUAUUGAUAAAGACACGAGGGUAUCAUCUUCUAAGAAGUUUUUGAAUAUGGUUCAGAAAUUUAUUGAUGAUGAAGUGGAGAAAGUGAAAGGGUUUACGAAAGAUUCCAACGUUCUUUUCAGAGAAAGGUUGAAGAUCAUGGCCGGGUUGGUUAAUCCUGAUGAUCUCAAUUUGAAUUCUACGGAAAAGAAACUUGUCAAUGCUUAUAAUGAAAAACCAGUUCUCUCUCGCCCUCAACACAAAUUUUUUAAGGUAUUUCGUCUUCUACACUCCAUUUUCCUUGAAAUACUUGAUACUCGUGUGACACCACGCACCUAAUUCGGUCGCUGAAUCCAAGUGCAUGAAUCCAAUUCAAUCAUACAUUUCAUUUCGACACAAACAAAAUUUUAAAGCAUUUAUAAGGGCCCAAUAGAAAUAAACCUAAUUAAAAGGGUUUGUAAAACGUUUUUGAAGCACGUUUCGGUUCUAAGCAUGUUUACGAAAGCAAUCGUGACUCUACGGUAUGUUUUAAAGGACGUGUCAUCCUUUGUCUUGACGGUACUACGUUCUUACUCUUCUCACAAUUAUACUUGCCAUGAAAGGAUGCCACUAAAUAUCACACCCCACACUUGAUUUAGUCGCUAAAUCCGAAGCAAUUUAAACUAUUUUAUUCAUUGCACGAAAUACCUUAACUAGUCCAACACCAAAAUCACCAAAAUAUCUAAAAUCUAGAAUAAACACAAUAUUGAUAUUUAGAAUGCAUUAAUAGGAUAUAUGCUGGUUCAAUUCGUGUCCAUGAACACAUUCAUGAAUCUUCAAAAGUGAUUAGAGAUUUCGUGCUGAAACAGUAAGUGAAGUUGCAACACAAAAGAAGAGACGUCGGGACAUCCCUACAUGUAUUAGAUAUAUAUAUAUCGGUAUAUUCGAUACUUGUAUCUGAAUCGUGACACCAUAAAUGAGGUAGAAGGUUGUUGAUUGUGUUUAUGAUUGUAGGGCUCGAAUUAUUUCGAGAUUGAUUUAGACAUACAUCGCUUCAGUUUCAUAUCAAGGAAGGGACUUGAAUCGUUUCGAGAUCGUUUGAAGAACGGAACACUUGAUCUCGGUUUAACCAUCCAGGUAACAAAAUAAUAAUAAUCUGAUCUUGUUUUGUAGUCUAAAUCCAUUGUUGUUUGACAUAUGAUGAUGAUCAGCAGGCACAAAAACAAGAAGAAUUGCCAGAGCAAGUUUUGUGUUGUUUGAGGUUGAACAAGAUCGACUUCUCCGAUAAUGGUCAAAUCCCUACACUUAUGACAAUGGAUGAAUAAUUAACAUGUCUUUGUAUGGAGGAUCUAAGAUGUUCAAUUUUUUAAAAAGCUUAGUCACUGCAACAUUUCUAGCAUUUUAACAGAGCAAAUAAAAGAAACAUCUUUUACUGUAAAUGUAUUGAUUAAACAUUUUAUUUGGGUUGAAAUAACAUUGUAACACAAAAGCCAUUUUAGUUCUUCUAUUGAAAAAAUGAUAAAUUAAUUCCUAUAUGUUAGAUGAGUGAAUAAAAUCGUCCCUUCGUUACAAGUGUACCAUCAAAUGUUUGUUUGGGUUUUUAUAUAAAAAGUAUAAUAACAAAAGUAGCCCUCAACUUUUACACAUUUAUUCAAUUUGACCCCUUUAUUGGAAGUAAACUAGAAAAGUUUGAGAUUUAUAAGGCUAACAAAUUUGACAUGUAUUCUUUUAACGGCUUGGUAUUGUUAUUUUUUUAAUAAAAAAAUUAUAAAUUUAAAUUUCUUAUAACUUUUUUUUAAUAAAUUUUCUUUAUAAAUUUUAUGAUUUUUUUAAUAAAUUUUUAAUUCUAAAAGGGUUUAAUUGUUUUUUUUUAAAUUUGUUAUUAAAGCCUUUUUAACCCUUUUAACCUUAUUAGUUUAAAAAAUUUCUAAUUUGUUUCCAAUAAAAAAGUAGAGGUCAAAUUAAAUAAUUGUGUAAAGGUUAAGGGCUAAAUUUAUUAUUAUACAUUAUAUAUAUAUACCCCAAAUUUUAACGGAUGGACUAUUUUGCUCACCCAUCCAAUAUAUGGGGUUAAUUUGGUUUUUUUUCAAUAAAGGAACUAAAAUGUAAUCCAAAGUAUAGUAUAGGAGAUAUGGUGGUACAUCCAUUCUUUACCAUUUUUUCCCUUUUUUGUGCAUGUUUGUUUUUCAUUGGCUUGCAAGUUUAAAUUUACCAUUAAUUAAAUAUUAAAAUGCAAAAGUUAGUAAUCUAUAUUUUUAUAAUAAAAUUUAAACUAAAGAAUAUCUUUAAUUAUUAAAGACCAUGUCCUACUAGAAUAUACGACUAAUAUUAAAGACAUUGAAAUGAAUUUUUCGAAUUAAAUAAAAUUCGAAAAUAGAAAUAUAUUAUUUUAUCAUAGUAAAUAAUUGAAUAUGGAUACAGUAAAUAUAUUUUUUCAUAGAUUUUUUUACCGUAAAAUUGUCAUGAUUCUAAUUUAAUUAGAAAUAUAUUGAUAAGUUUAUAUUGAAAAAUACAAAAAAAAUAAGUUGGAUCAAAUUAUAAAGUAUUGAGUUAAAAGCCCAAAAAGUAUUAAUUUUAUAUUUAUUCAAUUUGGUCCCUAAUGCAACAGAGUUGACAAACAAGUUAAAAUAACUUAAAAUCUAGUCCUUUUCUCAUUCUUAGCUUAAAAUCUAUCAAUUUCGAGCCUAAUUCUUCAAGAAAUCAACAAUUAAAACUUUUUAAAACUUUAACAGUUCUACAAAUUGGUAUAUAAGCUAGCUAAAUCAAGCUCUCAUGACCUCAAACUCAAAUCUAUAAAAAUUAUAAAAAAAAACAUGAAAUUACCUACUGGCCUAAUGUUUCAACAUUUUCCUUGGUUUUCGAGUUACGACAAUGGAGAAUGGUGAAAGAUGAAUAUGACAUCUUUCCACUAAUUUAACAUAUUUAUAGUUAUUGUUAGGAUUUCGACCCGAUUAAGCAACGAACAAGAAAAUAGUGGAAUAAAUUGAGAAAUUGAACAUACAAACUUAACGUGGAAAAACCCCUCCAAAGAGGAUAAAAAAUCACGGGCAAAGAUAAUUUUACUAUAAUGGAAAAAAACGAAGAGUACAAAAGAUGGAGAUAAAAACUAAACCCCGAAAACCUGAAAACAAAGAACCCACAAAACGUAAACACAAAAUUCUCUAAAUGUGUUAUGAGUUCUAAUCUCUAAUGGGUGUAUUUUUCUAAGGUUGUAAAAGAGCCUAUUUAUAGGCUAAAUUCAUAGGUCAAAUAAUAAUAAAAUAAUCUAAACUAAUCAGUAUUUGAUUAAAACAAGUAAACAGAGUUUAACUGAAAGAUUAUUUCUCUAAUUUGACUGAAAAUAGGAGUCAUAUUUAACAAAUCUCCACCUUGACUCAUAUUUUCACAACGCCAUCUUUGCCAAAGCCCGCCACGAGUCUAUCUUGAACUAUGCAAGGAAUUAACUGAGUCGAAUUUGUGCUUAGAAACUGGAAGACUUCUAGCCUUCGACUUGUACACUGCCAAACCAAAACUAACCCGGGUCUGAUUUUCAUGAACACAGUGCCCUAACUUUUCAAAACCUGCAUCCAAAAGAGAACCUCUUUUCAACGAAACAGUCAUACCUUUUUCCCUCCUAUGACCAAGUUGCCUUCGCUCCAAACAAGUUGACUUCAACUCCGUAACGGACGAGGGACAUCCUAUUUCACCGGUCACUGUAUAACCUUCCAAAAUAUAAAGACUGCCGGUUCUUUUACCUUUUAACAAAAUGAGAGCUCCACGAGAUACUUUAAUGCCGCUCGACUCGAUGUUGAUUUUGCAUCCUUUCAAGUCUAAAAUACUUAAGGAGAUGAGAUUCUUUCGUAAAUCAGGUACAUACUUGACAUCUGAGAGUGUCCUAAUCAUCCCCUCGUGCAUCUUAAUUUUAACAGUACCAAUACCAAUUACUUUACUAGAUGAAUCGUUUCCCAUGCGCACAACUCCACCUUCAAUCGAACUAUAUGUGGAGAACUAUUCUCUAUUGGGACACAUGUGGAAAGAACAUCCUGAAUCUAGGAUCCACUCGGACGUGAGCUUGGUGUUAUCGCUUGUUGACACUAACAAGAAAUCAUCACCAUUUUCAUCGGCCAAAUUAGCACCAGCUACAUCUUCCUCGUUACUCUCAGCAGCUUUUUUAUUUCGCAGUUUAUAACAAUUUGCUUUGACGUGACCUAACUUUUUACAAUAGCGACACAUUUUAUCUCGUUACUUUGAUGCUACCAAAACGGAAGUUUGCCUAUUUGUCUUGCUAUCCAAAUGAAACUCAUUGUCGAGUUUGUCUCUACUCAACAAAUGACUCUUCACAUCUUUGAACGAGAGUUUGUCUCUGCCAUAAAUCAGGGUCUCCCUACAAGACUUGUAUGAAAGGGGUAAAAAGCACAAUAAUAGCAUAGCCUGAUCUUCAUCGUCAAUAUGAACCUCAACAUUCUUUAAAUCAUUUAAAAGAGUAAUAAAUUGAUCGAUGUGAUUUCUAAGAAGCUCACAUUCGUUCAUGCGAAACGUAAAUAGACGUUGUUUCAACACUAAACGAUUAGCUAGAGACUUAGUCGCAUAAAGAGUUUCUAACCUUUUCCACAAGGCGGAUGAGGUCUUCUCCAUCAAUACCUCCUGUAAUACCGUAUUCGCGAGGCACAACUGGAUUGCAGACAAAGCCUUUUUAUCAAGCUCUUCCCAUUCUAUUUUAUUUAGAUUCUCAGGAUUUUUUCCGGUAACAACCUUUUUUAAGCCUGAUUGAACUAGAAUUGCCAUCAUCCCAACUUGCCACAGAUUGAAAUUUGUCUCACCAUCGAACUUCUCAAUUUCAAACCUUAUUGUUGCCAUCUCUGAACGGGCUGAUUUAUGAAAAUUAAACUAGCUCUGAUACCAUUUGUUAGGAUUUCGACCCGAUUAAGCAACGAACAAGAAAAUAACAGAAUAAAUUGAGAAAUUGAACAUACAAAUUUAACGUGAAAAAACCCCUCCAAAGAGGAUAAAAAACCACAGGCAAAGAUAAUUUUACUAUAAUGGUAAAAGAACGAAGAGUACAAAAGAUGGAGAUAAAAACUAAACUUCGAAAACCCGAAAACAAAGAACCCACAAAACGUAAACACAAAAUUCUCUAAAUGUGUUAUGAGUUCUAAUCUUUAAUGGGUGUAUUUUUCUAAGGUUGUAAAAGAGCCUAUUUAUAGGCUAAAUUCAUAGGUCAAAUAAUAAUAAAAUAAUCUAAACUAAUCAGUAUUUGAUUGAAACAAGUAAACAGAGUUUAACUAAAAGAUUAUUUCUCAGAUUUGACUGAAAAUAGGAGUCAUAUUUAACAAUUAUAUUAAAACCUAAUUAAUUUAACUUAACUAAUUUUAACAUAGUUUAAUUAACUUAAUACAACAUUAAUCAAUCUUAGUAGAAUCCUUCAUCAUCAUCCACUAUUAUAUAAUUAAAAAAUGGUUUAAUUACCAUUUUAGACCUUUAUUUAAUUUCUAUUUAAGGCCUCAAGUCUUUGAUCAAUUAAAAAUUUAUAGUAAUUGGACUUUACGAUUUAAUCCUUAGGCCAUAAUUAACUAUUAAUUCAACAAAAUUACUAUACCAAUAUUUAAUAUAUUUUUAUAUAAGCUUUGUAAUUAUUCAUAUUUAAUAUUUACAGAUUCUUUUUAUGGAAUGAGGUUCCGAAACCGCAUUUUCUAGUACCACUAAAAAUCGAGUCGUUACAGAUUAAGCUUUAACCUAUAAGUUACUGGAUCAAUUAUUAAAUAAAUCAUUCACUGAGUGAGACUCCACAUAGUAUGAUUGUUUUCGAACUACGUUUUUAAACUUUAUGUGUUUAUCUCUCUUUUUACUCUCUUUACUUUUCUACCGUUCUUCACUAUAUUGUUUCGACUCGUGCCUGGACAUCAGAUUAAAUAUCAGUUUGAACAAGAAGCAAACUGAUUACUUUUACAAUUAUGAAGUGAAGAAGAGAUUUAAUCUAAGAUUAAUAAGGAUUAAGAAAAUAGGACACCAAUGAUUUCAUAUUUUAUGUUGAGUAUGGUAAUAAAAACUACCAAGCAUCAACUAGUAUUUGUUUUCCAUGCAGCCAUGUAUGAAUAUUAAUAGCUUGUUCAUGUAAUUUGUAAAGCACCUGCUUUUAAAAGCUUUGUUUUCUACCCUGUUUUUCAUCAAAAAUAGCUAAAACAUGGUUUAAUUGAAACCUACCAAGUUAAACUACAAGAAAUUAGUCACUUUAAGUUUUAUUAGUAUUUAAUGAGAUUUUAAAAAUCUAAAAGUAUAUUUUUUUAAUUUCUUCCUAGGGAAUGUUUGGAUUUUUAGAAAUUAUAUAUAUUUUGAAAUUUUAGAUUUUUAUGUAUUUUUCAUUUGACUUUUUUAAAUUUUUUUAGAGAUGGAUUUUGUAAUUUUAUUAGAAUUAGGUCAAAUUGAGAUAAUGCGUAAAUGUUGAGGGUUAAUUUUUUUAUAAUCAUGAUCAAAUUGAAAAAUAUAUCUUAAUUGUUAAAUUUAUUAUUAUACUAAUUUUAGAAUUGUCACGGUAGUUAAUAGAAUUAGACAAAAAAUACAAACACAUAGGAGAGAGUAAUUUUCAGUUAAUGGGUUUGAUUUUGUUGUUGUUUUUUUUUUAUGGGUAACUAAUUUUUGAAAUUUCAAAUUGAUUCAAUCAAAAAGAUUGACUUAAUUUAAUAUAUUUUUUAAUUAUUUAAAAUAUAUUUUUAAUUUAUAAAAUAAAUAAAUAUUAUUCAAGUUCUAUAACCUAACUCAAUAAUUAAAAUCAGUUAAUUUAAUUAACCAAUCGAACUGAUCUCAACCCAAUUAUGUAUAUUUUUUAUCUUUAAUUCUCGGUUAAGUCAGUUUAAUAAGAAAAUGACCAAAAGACCGAAUACUGUCCCCCUACAAAUACAUUAAUUAGGUGAUGAUUUUGUAAUUUUGAUGAUCAGAAAAAUAACCUAAGUUUCGAUGGGUUGACCUGCAGUGUAGUUAUUCCUUUUUUAUUUUUUCUUAAGAAAAUGGUCAUUUUCAUUUGUAAUGUUGAGGCCUUCUGCUCGGAGUUGAAGAUAACACGAAACUAUCAAUCAGAAGAAACUAACGCAUUUACACAGACAAAAACGACAAAAUUAAGAAUCUGAGAAACAAAGAAAUCGAGAAUACAAUCUUUCAUUUUAAAAAAUUUCUGUCUGAUAUAUGAAGUGAGGAAACAGGGGAAAGAAACAGAGGGAAAUAGUGGGAAAAAUGGCAAAGAAAGGAACAAGCUCAAAGCUUUCAGCUCCAACACGUCCAACAAUAACUUUGCCACCAACACCAACCAUGGACAGUUCGUUUUCAAAUGGUUCAGGGCUAAGCCCAGGACCUAUGACACUGGUUUCAGCUUUUUUCUCCAACCAGGACUCAACAGAGAAUAGGUCUUUCUCUCAGCUAUUAGCCGGUGCUAUGGCUUCACCUGGAUCUAGAUUACCUUACAAUUCAAUGGAUGGUUCAUUUAUGGAUGUGUGUUUUAAAGAUGGAGGUGAAAAAAGAUCUGAACCUUUGAACUUUGGUGUUCCUAACUCUGCUUUGUUCACUGUGCCUCCUGGGCUAAGCCCUUCUGGCUUGCUUAAUUCUCCUGCCUUUUAUUGCCUUUCUCCACAGGUAAAUUGAGUUCAAUGAUGUUCUUUUAGUUAUGGUUUAGGGUUCAAUUUUUGUUCCAUAAUUUGUGCAGAGUCCUUUCGGAAUAUCCCACCAGCAAGCAUUGGCGCAGGUUACAGCUCAAGCUGCCAUAGCACAAACCUUAAAUCAUGAAGAAACUUCAUCUCAGAUGGCUCCUUCAGCUUCUGGCCUUCAGAGUUCAACAAUGGAGUACGCUGAAGCUUCUCAAUAUGAUAGUAAAAAUCAGCUUUCUGUUGCUGUGGAUAAACCUGCUGAAGAUGGCUACAACUGGCGUAAGUAUGGACAGAAGCCAAUUAAAGGCUGUGAAUAUUCGAGAAGCUACUAUAAAUGUACGCAUUUGAAAUGCCCUGUCAAGAAGAAGGUUGAGCGAUCUACAGAUGGCCUAAUAACUGAGAUUCUAUACAAAGGUGCACACAAUCAUGAAAAGCCUCCACCAAACAAACAAGGGAUGGGCAGUAGCGACGGAAAUGCAAAUUCACAGGCUCCUGAACUAGGUUCUCAGGGUUUAACCGGAAACUUGAACAAGGUAAAUGCUGUUGUACCAGUGUGUUCGAUACCUGGGAAAAAUCAUGAAUCUACUGAAGCUGCAGAAUUACCUGGAUCAAGUGAGAAUGAGGAACAUUGUGACGAGGAGGGUAGAGACGAAAGAGAUAAUAAUGAUGAACCGAAUCCGAAAAAAAGGUGAGUUUCAAAUCAAAUGUAACUGAUCAUGUAAAUUUAUGUAUCUUUACCAUCGAUAGUUCUUAGUGCAGUGUGCUUUUGACUGCAGGAAUGCUGCUACGGAAGCUGCGAUAGCCUUCUCACAUAAGACAGUCACGGAACCGAAAAUUGUUGUGCAAACGAGAAGUGAAGUUGAACUCUUAGAUGAUGGCUAUCGGUGGCGCAAUUAUGGUCAGAAAGUUGUCAAAGGGAAUCCUCAUCCAAGGUACAAUGGACUAUCAUAUAAUUUUCUUAUCUAUGGUUCUAUUCUAGGCUGCUCUGACUCGUCAUUCUUCAAGUACCCUUGUUUGACACCUGUGUUUGGCACAUGUUGAGACACGGGUUUGGGGAUAUGAACCAGUUGAAAAAAUGGUGUUUAGCAUUGGUUUGAACCUUUGAGUGCAUUACAAUGGCAAACUGACAUCUUAGAAUUUAUCUUCAAAGCAGUAUGAUCUAUUUUCAUGGAUCAUUUUAAUACUAUGCAUACACAGAUAGGACUGCUAAUGAUUGUGACCUACAUUAAUCGGACUUUCUCGGUCACAGUUGAUGAUCUACUUAACCAUCUGGUGCUAUUUAGUUUGCUUUUUGAGCUCUAUAUUUCAAUCACAAGUAGUUUAAUGUUUCGGUUUCAUUUCUGAUACAUCUAAGUUAUUCCAACAGGAGCUACUACAAAUGCACGAAUGAAGGAUGCAAUGUUCGGAAACAUGUGGAAAGAGCUUCCAUGGAUCCGAGAGCUGUCAUAACAACAUACGAGGGAAAACAUAAUCAUGAUGUCCCAACUUCCCGAAACAGUGUCCACACGCAGCUAACAACAAUUUGCCGCAGCCAAAACCAUACAAGGUGAUGGCAGAGAAGCAUCCUUUACUUGGAGAGAUGGAUUUCAGAACAAACGCAAAGGGCAGAAAGGGUGCAAAUAAGAGUGUAACUCCCCUGAGGUCCGGUUGCUGAUAUGUGCCAACUGACAACGAGUAUGCAUAUGGCAGAAAGGAUGAAACAACUGGCUGCUGAACCGUAAUUUGACUAGCAGAAGUGCCGUAUUGACAGUCCAACUUUGUAUAUUGGAGUUCUUUUAAGUAAUGUAGUAUAUUUGUUUUACACUCUUAGGUAAGGUGUUAUUCAGGUUAUCAAGCUUGUUUCUGUUGAUUUAUAAUGCAUUAGAUUCAAACAUUUUGAUGUAUAGGCCAAGUAAUCACUUCAAAAGCCAGGGUCCCCUUUUAUCUGUCAAUGAUCUACAGAUACCAGUUGUAUCAAUUCAGUUUGUAUUGAUCAAUAUUAGUAAGGCUGGUUCUUUGUUGCGUUUGGGAAGUCAAAAGUGCUUUCUCACCGUAGAAGCAACAAUUAACUUUUGGGGUUAAAACUGUAAUGAAAAAGUGCUUUUCCACCCAAAUCUAAAACCUCGAACUCUUUCUACAAAUUCAAUACUUUAAUUUACUUUGUUUUGCCACUUCAUUGGUACUCUCUCUUAAGCUUAUCCCAUGCUUCCUUUGCAGUCUCACAAGUCAUUAACCUUGUGUAUAUAGAUGGUUUCUGUUUCACGAACUGUUGAGCAUAAGGACCUUUUACACUGCUUCGUAUAUACAGGCAUAGCUUAUCAAGGUUUUCAAUAAAAAAACUUCCGACUUUGAGUUGAAGUAUGCUGAAAAACCAAUUAUAAGAUAAUUGUAAUCACAUAUUUAUUUACCUAAUUUAUUAAUAAAGAUAUUGUCAUUAUUAUUUUUAGUCUUUUUAUUUCUGUGUUAAAUGAACUGUUUAAUAAUAAAAUCCUACAAAUAAUAUGAUUGUUCUUAAAUAUCAUUAAUCAAGUAUUAUUACGAGUUUGGACAAUAAUAGUAUAUUGAAAUUAAUAUAUGCUUGAUUAGUGAUGAGAUGUUACAAAUAUGUGAUAUCAAGUCAACACAUAAAGUAUAUGUUAGAGAAUUAUAUAUUGGAUUGACCCAUAAUAAGAAUACUUCUUAGAUGAUCAUGUAAUAGUCACACCAUUUCUUAUAGCGAGAAUUAUAUGUAUAAUUCUUAGAUUUUAGAUUAUCAUAGUUUUAACAUUGUCACUUGUAUGCUUUGAUACAGUCAAAUAUCUUCCGUAAAUAGUUGUACUAUAGAGACUAAUAUUGGGUAUACCACAAUCUAUGUAGUGAAAUAUGAAUGCUCAAGAUAAGAUUUGUCUCUCCUACAUAAUGGGAGUAUAUUUCGGUUCUCCUUAAUCAGGUGAGAGUAGAAAUGCACGAUGAUGCUCAAAUGAGUUGAUAUGAGAUAUCAAACUCAUUUCUUCAUCUUAGCCUACUCGGGAUUCAAGAAACAAAAGUUGGACUAUACAAGUGUAAUUGCUCCAUAACUUGUGUUCAAUCCAAAUAUCACAAAUAAAAAGAUAUACUAUAUGAUUAUAUUAUUACAUAAAUGUUAUGUUGAAUUAUUACUUCUUACAACUUUAGUAGCAGUGAUUCAUUAUUAGAUAUCACUGUUUUUAAUUUUGAAAUUAUUUUGAUAUUACUGUUAAUGUUAUAGGAUCCUAUAAAAUCACACCCAGUGAUUUAAACGUCCUGAAUAAAAAUAAUUAAGAUUAUAAUUAAUCUAUCAACAAAUUAUUACUAGUGAUUUAAAAGUAUAUCAUGUUUAAAUUAUUAUUUCUUAUUUGUCCUCAAAGCAAAAUGUAUAAACAAAUAUUGACUUAAUGAUUAUUUAACGUUUAAUUAAUAUCAAGUUGUAGAAUGUGUCGGAUCAUGAUGCGAGAAGACAAUUUAUAUUAGUAGGUAAAUCUUAAUAGCUUGUAGUCUAAAGAUUUAAAAUUGAGCAAAUUGAUUUAAAGGAUUAUUAUGUUGUCUAUUAAGUUCAAUUAGAGAAAUAUCUUGCCUUGGGUAUUGGAAUAGAUGGCCCCCCCAAAAUUGUGAUUGUCUAAAUUGACAAUAGUUAGACAAGACUCGAGUUAGAUUCAUCCUGAAUUCGUUUAUAAAUUUAUUUAUUUAUGCCAUUCAUGAUAUAAUUUACUUAAUCCUAAGUAAGUAAUGAGUGUGUAUAUAACUUGUAUAUUUUGAUAUAUUAAAAACCUGAGUUAAAAUCUCACCACAUCAUUCAUGAUCUAUUUCCAAUUAUUUAAUGACAUUUCAACAAAUUUUUUCAUGUAAUUAACACAUAAUUUUGAUAAUUUUUAACAUUAAACUCUAAAUCCCGAACUUGAAUUUCAGGUUUGAAAUUUAGGGUUUAAAAUUCAAAAUUCAAAGUUAAGAAGUUACCAAAUUUGUAUAUUAAUAACGUAGAAAAAUUACUAAAAUAUUAUUAAAUAAUUAAAAAAAUCUGAUGUGGUAGGAAGGAUCACAAAAUAAUUUGUCUAAAAGUAGAGGGGAAAUAAAAUGACACGGCCCGGGAGCCAAGGUGUAUUCUGUUGAAAAAAGAAAAAGAAAAACUACAAACAAUUCUAAUAACAAGCGGAAGGAGCUAUGAUGGAGAAGAACGAAUUUCAUGGAAACGCGGCCUUUUCCGGGGGCGGAUUCAUGCCUUCUCAAUCCACUGAGACCGUCCGCGAUCGUCCCUCCUCCUCCUCCAAAGUAUAUUUUAUCAUAUAUUUUUGGCAUUAUUCUUUUGUCUAUCCUCUCCAGUUUUUCUUGUUUUUCUUUUUUCAAUUAAUUGUUUAUGAAACUAACAUUGAUCUAAUAUGAGUAUAGGCUAAUUUUUUUCUGGUUUAUGUUGAGGUUUCUUUCAAUUUCUUAUUUUGUUAUUUAUUUCAUAUUUAAUUUCGUCUUUUUUUAUCUGCUUUUGUUACUUGUUUCAGAAGAUAAAUAAUCAAGAAGUUAAAUCAUAAUAUUUGUUAAAAUUAAAAACAUAUAUGAUGAUAAUGUAACUCGAAUUCUGGUUAAAAUAUAAAUGAUUACUUUUCAAUUAAAAUGCACUUAAAAGAAAAGAACAAAAGUUAGUAGUUAACUAGUAAUCAAACUAAUUCUAGUAUUCCCCCCCUUUGCUUGAAAUAUUAACGUGAAAUUUGGUUCUUGUUUCACUAUAGUUCUCUUGAGCCAAAAAGGUUUAUCAUUAUUAUUUUGAAUUAUUCAGAGUGAUGCACGGUGCUCAAUGCCACUUACAGAACAGUGAAGCAGUUGAAGGAUCUCUCAAGAGGUGGAGAAUAUGGUAUUUCCAUUGACGGUGUUGAUGUCAACAAUGUAGGCUUUGAUCUCUUUUUUCUUUUCCAUAAAUAAUCAAUACUUUUCUAAAUGGUUUAUGAAAUUUGAAAUUUUGGUUUUUUGUUUUUAGAUUGUGCUAGUGGGGAUGGUAUCCAAGAUAGACAAUCCUGUCUCAGAUUGUACUUUUAGAGUUGAUGAUAGCACAGGAUGGGUUGAAUGCGUUAAUUUUCCCUCUUCUUUUAGUUAUUCUGUUUAAGUUUUCUAUGCUACUAAACGUGUAUAUAUAUAUAUGUGUGUUGUGUAGGAUUCAUGAACAAGUAUUCCACACACACUCAUAUCUCUGUGUGUGUAUGAAUUCUUACAUUAUGUUUCUUCUUUUCACUUUUUUUUUAUCGGAACAAUAUAAAGUUAAAUAGCAUUAGCAGUUAAUCAGACCACAUAAUGUCCUGGUCUAAUUCAGUUCUUUGUCUAAGUCUACUAUUCUCUGACUAUGCUUUUUGUCACUUCUAUUUCUCUCAAUUGGGUGUGUUCAGUGGUUAGACUUUUUAAAGCCUAAAGUUUAAAAUCACAUUGGCUAGGUUUAAAUUUUGGUGUUUGGAGUAGACUUCAUUAAUGGAUUUCAUGAUAUUUCAUGGUUUUUUAGAAUAAUUUUAGGACUACUUUUGGAAAUCAAUACAAAUUAGAUUUAUUUUAGUAUUAAACCCAUGGGUAAGACAGGGCAAUACUUCCAGUUAGUCUCCAUAGUGCUAGUUAUACCAAAUAAAUCAGGAACAUUAUGGAAUGAUAUAUUUUGAAAUUUAGUUCAUAGUCUUGUAUUUCAAAGGAAUGGAAAUUUUCCUAUCUGAGUUGUUAUUUGAUUCUGCUUUUGCCAUUGUUAUGUUCAUGUCAAAUUUUUGGAUGUUGUACAUAGACUGCUAGUCUUUGAACUUUGGUGUUGCUUUCAGGCCUGUUACUGAUUUUAAUGAGAUUGCAAGCCACUUCAUUUUGAGUGUAUAUAUGUUCAUUUGUACAACACCAAUUUGAGGGUAAGAGUUGAGGCUCUAGUUUGCGAAAUGACAUUUUCAGCUUAUUUGAAUGUAAAUAUUUAUGUUUUUAUUGUUAGGAACUAUUUGUCUUAUCUCAACUUUGUAUGUAUGGUGGCAUGACCACUCAGCCUGAAGUGGCAAAUUCAAAUUUUGGUAACCCAACAAAGGGCUAUGGCUACCAAACUAACCUGACAAACCAGGUGAAGGAACUAAAUAGUGGUAGAAUACUUUGCUAAGUUCCUUCAUUUACUUGAUCCUUAUCUAGCCCUUUUUUUUUUUUUUGUAGUUUUCUGGCCAGUACAACACUGUCGAAGAACAGAUCUGUGGUGUUAGUUCAAGGGUCUUACAAUACUUGCGUCAGCCCGCAUGCCUGUGAAUUGCCUAUGAUAUCGUCUAAAACCAAGUGUGUUAUGUGAGCCUGUUUGAUUUGGUUGAAUUUCCAAUGAAUUGCAUUAAACUGAACUUCUAAUGAGCAUGCAGAUUUGAACAGGCUCCUAUUUUUCAUUAAAAAUGGAAAAGUUCACAAAAUUAUCUUAUAAGCUAGUAUAACUUAUCUAGAUGACAUAACCUAAUGAUAAAACAAGUGACUCUUAUGGGAUAAAUAUGUCCAGCAUUUCAGGUCUUUACACAUUUAGAAAUUGGCUUGUAUUUGACUAUUUGCAGUUUGGGUGAUUUGUUUUGAUCAGUACUGUGAGGCUAAAGUAAUUCCACUCUUUUUCUUUCCCUUUAAUCGUUGAAAUGGUGUUAUAGAUAUUUGGUUUUUGUGUGUUAGACAAAGCAUUGUUAAGUUUCAGUUAUGUUUUCAGUGCAUCAGAGACUGGGGUACCCUCUGUUGUGGCUCGAGAACUAAAUGUGUCAUAUGAUAAAAUCAGGUCUGUUUCUUUCACUGUUUGGUUCAUUAAUGCAAACACUAAUUUGAUUGUAACCAUAAGCAGUAAGCAAAGAGUGUACUUUGGGUUGUACAAGAAAUCUUUAGAGUUUCUUGUAUCUGAGGGCCUCGUUUACCCGACCAUUGAUGAUCACUACAAAUUUACAGAUGCUUGAGGUAUGUCCAGGUGAUGUACAAACUAAAAUGUAGUGUAAGUCGGUUAGUCUAUACUAUCUAUUUUGCCCAUCUCUUUAUCUAAAUAUUAGAUUGUUCUCGCUCUCUAUGUAGAUAUCUCUAUAUAUACAUGCUAUACGAUGCUAGUACUUCUAUGCAUAUCAGCAAGAUCAAUGCUUUUGCUACUUUGGUCAAUCUCUCUAGUUAAUAUUUGGUUUAAUGGGUUCAACUCCACAGCGAGUAAGUGCAAUGGUGAGCAAUGAUGUAAUAAUUGGACUGAAUUGGUAGUAGAUCCGGUUCAAUUGGAACCUAUGUGAUUGGUGAUUUAACAUCUUAUAUAUAAUUGGAUUUUCUUGAUUGGGCAAGAAUCAGAAAAUACAUACAAAUGGAGUUUAAGCCUUUUUUAACUCCUAUGCUAGAGUAGUUUAACUUGAAUAAGAGUUAAUAUCACUCAAGUAAAUAAUAAUUUUCUUAGGGUGAAUUUGGAUGAACGGUGCGUUUAUUUACAAUUAGUGUAAAAAUAACGGUGAUAUUAGAUUAUAAUACAUAUAUAAUGUAAGUGAAAAAUAUUUAUUAAAAGUUUAUAUAAAAAUAAGAUGAAGAUUUGAUUGAAAUGGUUAAAUUAAAUGUUUAAAAGAAAUAUGAUAUCUUAAGUUCAAAUCUUACUAUAUUUAGAUUUUUAUUGAUUUUAUAUAAACAUUCUCAUAAUAAUGUAACUUAAUUUGUUAAAGGCAUGUCUUUUAGUCAUUUCACAUUUAAUUUGAUAUUUAAUUGACUCGUGAUAUCGAUUCAAUUAGAAAUAAAUAUAAUCUAUAUCUAUAAUAUAUAUUAAAGCACAAGUUUGAGAAAAUUUUUACAUUGAUUAGUAUAAUUUUGUUGUUUAUUAUAUUACCGAAUUUGCUAUUUUAAGAAUUUUAAUUUUAAUAAAAUAUUUGGGAAAAUAAAUUUAAUUUUAAUAAAAUAUUUGGAAAAAUAAAUUUACUUGAUAAGAUAAAUAGACUUUUAUUAAAUGAAUUUAUAUCAAUAUUAUUAUAAAAAGUCUAAUUGAAUUGGUGUCGUCUUUUAAUCGAGUAUCAACUCAGUUGUUAAGUUCUUAAAAGGUCGAUUUUAACAAAGCAAUAAUUAUUACUUUUAGGACAUUAUUGUUUUUUUCGUACAAAAUCUAUAUAUAUAUAUAAAACAAGAUUUGAACCUAAAAAAGAUUUUAUAACAUUCACCUCUAACUUAACCAUUUCAACUAAAGUCAUAUUUAAUUUUUAUAUAAAUUUUUAAUAAAUUUAUUAUAUCAUUGUUUUUAUCUACAUAGUGGGUGUGUAAUAAUCUAGUAAUAAAUAAAAUAAGUUUAAUUCUAUGUUAAAUGAUAUUAUAUUUAAAUUAUUAUAUUUUCAUUAACAAAAAAGUAAAAAUAAAUUAUAUUACCUUUUUCAAAAUUGCAAAUUUUAAUUAUUUAUAUUAUUUAUAAAACAUUUUAUUAAGUUGUUGUCACCCAUCAAUCAGGUCCUAACUUAGUUAGAGAAGUUAUUUUAAUGUUCCUUCGCGUUUAAAAUAAAUUAUAUUAUUUGAGAGUAUUUUAAUCUUUUUAGCUAAAAACAAUAAUAAUAUGCAUAUGAUAAAAUUUGAAUCCAUGUCAAUUGGGUUAGCAAAACCUUAAAUUUACCACUUAUCUAAGGUUUUAUUUUAAUAAAUUUAUACAUAUUAAUUUUUUUAUUCACACUUAAUUACCUCCAUCAAUUGUAUAUAUAUACUAUUAAUAAAAUCUCUGAUUAAGUUGGUGUCACAGGUUAACCUUAGGAAAUUAUAAAAAUAUCCUUCCGUAAUUAAAAUAAAUCAUAUUAUUUUAGGGUAUUUUAGUCUUUUUAUUUUAACAAAAACCAAGAAAAUAUCAUAUGGUGGGAUUUGAACCCGUGCCAAUUGUAGGAAAAUCUUAAAUUUAUCACUCAACAAAAGUUUUAAUUUAAUGUUUUUUAUACAUAUUUUAAUAUGCACAAAUUAUUAUAAUUAUUAUGAUUAAUUAGUUUCAAACCAUAUGUUUCAUUAUUUAUUGGAUGUUAUUCUUAAAUGCGCAUACAUGUGUGACAAGAUUUCUAGUAUUAAUAAUAUUGUUGAUUGAGAUGGUAUCACAAAUUAACUUGAUACCAACUUAGGAUUAAUGACAACACCAUGAUAACUAACUGUAUUCAUAUAGUAAUUUUAAUCUGAUGCAUUUAUGUAUUUAAACUUUAUUUAACUUAUAAUUUAAUCUAAUUUUUUUAUUUUAAUAUCGUACAUAUUAUAGCUCUAAUUUAUAUGAUAAGUAUUGUUUUGAUAAACAUAUAUAAUAAUUAACAUUAUAUUUCUUAUAUAAAAUUUUAUAAAUAAUACAUUGACAUAACCUUUAGUAUAUUGCAAUUAUAUUAACUAUAGUUUAUUUGCGAACUAUUACUCCAUAUAUGCUUUAAUAAUAAUUAUUUUUUAUUAGUAUUAUAUUUAGGGAUUCAACUUGUAUUUAAUAUAUUUAUAAACAACUUCUUUCCUACUAUAUCAAUAAUAAUUUUUAAAUAAACUUAAAAAAAUUAACUUUUAACAUAAAAUGUUAUCUCUCACUAAAUUUAUGUAUAUAAAGAUUAAGUUAAACUAUUUUUUAUUUUAAUUUCAUACAUAUUACAUAUGUGUUAUUAUUAUUAGUUUCAAAUUUUAUGUUGGAAAUGUGCUCAUAUUGUAGUAAAUAUGUAACUAUUUUCUAUAUAUUUGAACGAUGAAAAAAUAAAGUUAAUUUUACAUUUCACUGAUAUAUCUUUUGUGCUUCUAUCUUUUAUAUUUUGCAUGCAUAGCAAAAUUGUGACAAACAAAUAUUAGCUAAUCGAUUGUCUAAGUUCAAACUAAUGAUAAGUGGCACUCUAAGAAUGUUUACAUUGCAAGAAAAAUAACUUACUUUAGUAGAUAAUCUAAACGAAUCUGUAAUCUCCUAAAAGAAUCAAAGUCAACAUUUGAUUCAAAUAUUUAGAAGAAUUAUUAUGUCAUCUACAAUUUCAAUUGUGGAGAUAGCUAGUUUUAGUUUUCGGAGCAAUUAACUCCACAAGUAGAGUCAUAGAUGUACUCAUUAGAAAAAUGAUAUAUAGGAUUAGACCCAAGUUGAAUUAAUUUUGAAUCUGUUUUGAAUUAAUUCACUUAUGAACAUGUCGAAACCAUUUUUAAUUUGAAAAACGAGGAUCGACUUUAAAACAAAAAUGGAGUCGCCACCAAUCCUUUAUUGUUUAGGUGUGAUCAGGUCACCUUGUGAUCGAUCAUUUUAAUAAAGCAUUUUGGUUUAUUAAAACAACAUUUUUUUUUUCUACGAAAAACUAGAAAACGGGUUUGGGAGUCGGUUACGCACGAGGAAGGAUUAGCACCCUCGCAACACCCUAAAUUGGUACCGUAUUGAUCAAUUAAUGUCCUAAUGUUGAAAUUUUGGAAAAACAAAAGCAAUUCCUUUAAGACGUUUAAAUAUCUUGAAUGGAUAUUGAGAUUCUCUCGCUCAGAAAGAAUAAAAUAUCAUAUCCAGUAUGAUAGGAUACAACAUUUUGAACCCUCGAUACAAAAUCAUCUCAUAAUUUCCAAAACUCAUGUAUUUGAAAUUUGACAAGGAUAUUUGGCUAUUUGGCCAAACGAAAAAUUGAAACCCUACACGAUUGGACACGAUUUGUCGAAUUUUCAGAUACGAAAUACUGUCUCAUUUUAAUUUAAGAAAACAUGGAUGAAAUUUCAAAAGGAUAUUCUGUAUUUUAGUCGAAUGAAAAAAUCGAAACCCAGCACGAUUGGGCACGAUCUCUCAAACUCCCAAACACAAAAUAUUGCCUUGUUUUAAUUUAAGAAAACUUGGACGAAAUUUCACAAGGAUAUUCCAUAUUUCAGUUGAAUGAAAAAAAAUCGAAACCCAGCACGAUUGGGCACGAUCUCUUAAACUUCCAAACACGAAAUAUUUCCUUAUGUGGAGAGGGUUCAAGUUAACAAUUAUGAAAACCGAGUCAAGAUAUACUUGUUUGAUUUGUUUGGAGAUAAAGGACAAUUGAUAUUGAGUGAAUAUGAGAAUUAUAAUCAUGAUGCAAUGACAAGAAAUAAAAUAUAAUCACAUGCAUGAAACAAUAAAAUAUGAAUACAAUAUGAAAACAAAAUAUGAAAACUAGAAACCAAUAUAGCACCGAACAAUUUAAAAAAACCUAUGAAAAAAUAUGCAAAGGAAUAACACAUACUAGAACUCGAAAUAAUUUAUAUGUACAUAAAAACUGAUAAUAUAUGAACGAUUAUUUAAAUAUAUAAUAUGUAAGAAGAAAUUCGAAAUAAAUAAUAUAUAACAUAAUUUCAAAUAAAACAAAUUAAUUUAACUAAUUAUAUAUAUAUAUACAUAUAUAUAUAUGAAAAUGAAAAUGAAAAAUUAAUGUAAAUAAUGUAUAUACAAAGAUAUUAAAGUAUUUAAAAUAAAUAAAAUAUACAAUUUAAAAUAGGAUCCUAAAAUAAAACUAACUUAUACAUAAAUAAAUUUAAAAGGAAAGAAAAAAAUAAAUAUAUACAUAAAUAGAUUUAAAAGAAAAAUAUUUACAUAAAAUAAUAUGAAAUUGAUAGUGUGUACUUAGGAUAUAAUAUAUAUAUAUAUAUAUAAGUCACGUAUAUGUAUAUACAAUAGUAUUAAAUUAAAUAUCAUAUAAAAAUAUAGAAAUAUAUAUAAAAGAGGAUUUUAAAAUAAAUAAAUUGUAAAAUAAAACAAUUUUAAAUAUAUAUAUAUGAAUGAAAGUAUAAACUAACAAACUAGAAUAAUGCAAAAUCAAUAAAGUAUGUUAAAACAACCUCUAAAAGAUGAAUAAUAAAUCAAUUAAAAAAAUAAAAGAAUUACAAAGAAUAAAAAGGUAAACUGAAAUAACAAAUACUCAAUUGAAAUAAAAAUAAAAUCAAAAAGACAAAUUUGAAAAUAAAUAAAGUGAUAAAAUAGAAUUAAGGAUUUUAAAAAAUGCGCGUAAAUAAAAGGGGAUAUUAAAUGUAAAUAACCAAACUUCCCAAAACGCUGUGCUUCAAUGCGAACUAAAAUGCAAUUGACACGAAAUUCCUGUGGAAAUUUUGUAAAAAAUAAAAAUAAAUAAAAAAUAAACAGGACUUAAAUAAACAACAGCGCAAACGAGGAGGAUUAACCACGCAAAUUACCCACUUUAAGCUAGGAUGCACAAACCCCUACCCGUUUUACCCAAAUAGCACCGUCUCAUUAUACAUAAAACACUAAGCCAUCUUGUUUGCCAAACUUAUUUGCGCCAGAUUUGAUAAAGUCUAAAAAGGUUUUCAUUCUUCACUGCUCUUGUGCUGAUCAGUUCUUCCCCACCAUUGAUUCAUCACCAUAAUCGGCAGAUGACAUCAAAUUCGACUUUAUUUGGAGUCGUAUCCUCCUAACCCUCAUCUAACUUCGAUUUCAACGAAGCAGACAAGGAUUCAAAGGCCAUUAAAAGGUAAGUCCCCUUUCUUUUUUUAUUUUUUUUAUUUUAAAAUCAGUUUGUAAAAAACGAAAAAGCAAAAAAAAUCACAAAUAUGAAACGAAAAUCCCAGGGAAAAGAAUUGAAAAAACAACCUCUUAAAUCUUGGAUCCGGUUUCUUUUCGAUUGCUAUGGAUUUUUGUGUAUGUUCUCUGCUAUUAGAUUCAAAAAAACAAAAAAACCCUCCCAUUUACACUCGGUUUGAUUCGGUUUUAUAGUCGAAUGGAAAAAAACAAAAAAGAACUUCUUUGCUGCUCUUUUUGCGCUUGUUUGCAGGUGCGUGGUGGACGUGGGCUCUGACAUGGAGGCGCGAGUGGCGCGGCGCACGGAGCGAAAGGCAGCGCGACGUACGGCGCUUGGGGUUGGCUUGCGACGCUAGGGUUGCUGAAAUCGUUUUAGAUUUGAGGGCCAAUUGGGCCAUGUUGUAAAUGGGUAUUAGAAUUGGGUUUGUAUUAGGCUUGUAUUGGGCUUUAUUUUAGUUUUUAUGUUGGGUAUGUAAUUUGGACUUUGUUUUUUUUAUUUGGUCUGCUUUUGUUUUGGUUUUGGUAUUGUUCUGGGCCCUGGGCGAAAUGGGCCGUCUACAGCUUCCCCUCUUUGCUCAUUGUCGUGUAACGAGAAUUGAGCAAAGACCUUAAAAGAGUCAUUUUGCCCGUUCUUGUCAUAUCUUGACCUCUUUAUGCUCAUCUUCUUCAAGUAGCCCCACUCUACCUCACUGCAUCUUCAGGGAUAUAGGAAUUGUGCUUUCAAUCCACUCCACGUCCUUAACCUGCUCCAUUGCGACUUCUGGAAUAUAAAAUUUGCAAUUUUCAGCCUAUCACCCUACUGCUUAGGAGGUUAAGGCUCGUAUCUUCAAACUGCUCUCUUGCUACCUCAGAGAGAUAAGGCCGGUGGCUAAAAUCUACUCCAUAGCCGAGACAUGGAGAUAAGACUCUCCAUUUUUGAUCUGCUCCAUAGCCGAUACAUGGAGAUAAGAUUUGUAAUUUACAGCCUGUAACCCUACUAUUUAGGGGGUUAAGGCUCGUAUCUUUAACCUGCUCUCUUGUUACCUUAGAGAGAUAAGGCUGGUGGCUAAAAUCUGCUCCAUAGCUGAUACAUUGAUAUAAGACUCGCCAUUUUUUAUUUGCUCCAUAGCUGAUACAUGGUGAUAAAUUCUGUAAUUUGCAGCCUGUUACCCUACUGCUUAGGGGGUUAAGGCUCGCUGUCUUCGAUCUGCUCCAUUACUGUUUAGGGAAAAUCUGUAUUUUUCAGCCUGUUACCCUACUACUUAGGGGGUUAAGGCUUGCGAAUUCACCGAUGCCACUGUACUGUUCUCUGAGGAACAUGAUCUGUAAAAUCGGUUUCCUGUAUCUAUACUUAUGCCAAAUAAUUAGGAUGCUAUGAUUGCAAUGAAUCAAAUGCUCUUAACUAGAUGUAAUGCGUAUGUCAAAUAAUUAGGAUGUUAUGAUUGAAAUGAAUCAAAUGCCCCUAACUAGAUGUAUCAUGAAUGACAUUUGUAUGAAUGCAGAUUGUCGUGAGAAUUUCCUUUUUAACGUUUAGGCUAUUAUUGCUCGCUGUUUGUCAUUGAUGUAUUUCUUCUCGUUCAACUAAUAUCUUUAACAGACAUCUGAAGCAAUAGUCUUAACUUAAACUUUUUACUUCUCAAGUAACUCUAACCCUCAAGCUUGGUGGGUUCUGAAUAAUUGAUCUGUUUCGAGUUCUUGCACUACUUAGAAGCUUCUAGAGUAAUAUGCAGAACUCCUUUUAUGAAAGUGUUAUUAGUCCAUUAACCAAAUUUUUCAAUAGGAAAUGCUUGAAAAAGAUUAUCAAAAUGGACAAUAUGAAACUUUAUUGAGAGCGAAGCUCGAGGUAGAAAACUAAUCAUGAUAACAAAUUUCGCUAAGGUACAAAAAAAAUGUAUAAGAUGGAAAAUAGGUGCCCCAGAUAUUGCAGCAUGAGCUUCACUAUUCGAACUGUUCGAAAACCAUUAGGAGCCAGAUAUGUGUUUAGGAGGCCCGAGGUAUUUCGUUGAUACCCCAAGAUGUAAUGUUCCUCCUUCUUGUUAAUUUUGGUAGAACAAGGCCGCAACAUGCCCCAUCUUUGAUCACAAUUUGAGCUGCCCUUUUUCGAGUUUUCAACUCAAAACCCCUUUGGUCUCAAAGCACCCUUUGCGGGUUUUCGCCUUGACCUCUUCUUUUUCAGGUGAAGUACUUCUUGACCGAAUCUGAAUUUACCGGGUUGGGAAGGCUUUUACCAUCUAUUUCUGCUAAUAUCAAUGCCUCUCCAGAAAAAGCCUUCUUCACUACAUAAGGUCCUUCCUAGUUUGACAUCCAUUUCCCUCUGAAAUUUUUUUGCAUAGGAAGAAUCUUUUUUAAUACCAAGUCCCCUUCCUGGAAUACUCUUGGGCGAACUUUUUUGUUGUAAGCUUGCAUCAUUCGCUUCUGGUACAUUUGACCAUGACGGAUAGCCUUCAGCCUUUUUUCUUCAAUCAAGUUUAGCUGAUCGUACCGGGAUUGGACCCAUUCUACUUCAUCUAGCUUCAAUUCAAAUAAAACUCGGAGAUAAGGAAUCUCGACUUCAAUAGGCAAAACUGCCUCCAUCCCAUAAACUAACGAGAAAUAUGUUGCCCCAGUAGAAGUACUGACCGACGUUCGAUAGGCAUAGAGAGCAAAUGGUAACUUUUCAUGCCAAUCCUUGUAGGUCUCAGCCAUUUUUCCCACGAUCCUCUUUAUAUUUUUAUUAGCCGCCUCAACUGCAUAUGUAAUUCAUGUGCUUUGAUAUAAGUGAAAGCUUAUGCUUUAAAGAUGAUUGAGCCAAUAAUCGACUAGUUAGGUACAUGACUUGUGUACGGGUCUUGUGUACGAAAUUAGGUCGAUGGUCCAACUGGUAGCUAGACCGGAUCGAUUGGGUCGUCACUUAUUGAAACCAAAUCGGCCAGGCCCAUUUGGGCAAAGCGAAAACGAUUCAGGGUGCCAAGAGGAAGUUGUGCCGAGGAUGGCAUCGCCAAGCACAGCGACUGCGACAAUGGCGACCCGACAGCCGUUGAAUUGUCAACGGCGACGGUUCUUGGCGGUAGAGUAGUGGAAAAAUCAUACUCCUAGUGGGACUCUACCAAGUAAUUUGAUUUCAAAUUAACUUUUCUAAAGAGAAUAUUGUUUUAAUAAAUUUAAUAUUUUAUCUAGAUAGUAUUUUAUAAAUUUAAUAUUGAUAUGAGAUAUUAAAUUUAAUUUAAUAGUUAUCUUGAUAAUAUUUUAUUAAUUUAAUAUUAAUGUAAUUAAUUCUAAUCUUAGUUAAAUUCUCUCUAAACUCUCCCUAUAUAAAGAUAACUUCGGUUAUUAUUCUCAAACAUUUGAAUUUAAGAAAAGUUGUAGAGAGAUUUUUUUAAAUAAAUUAUUUCAGAAAAUUUUUAGAGAUAUUCUUGUUAUUUAUAACUUGAUCUCAAAAGUUUAAAAAAAUUACAAAAUUGCCUCACUGGUAAUUUUGUGAAUUUUUUUUAAUUCAAAAUAAGUCCAUACUCCGCAAACAUGAGCUUGAGGAUAGCGGAGAAGACUACUCCGUCGAAAUGUUCAUCCUAGACGAAUUAUAAAGAUACUAUUUUGAUUAAGUGUUUAUUACUUUAGAUAACACAACCAAGUUCUUAUUUUGAAUUUUUUUUUAAAACUUUAGUUUUUCCUUAAACCUAUUUUUUGCUAACUUUUUCGAACGUAAUUUUUCCAAUACCUUACAUUUCAUUAUUUAUUGUAUGUUAUUUUUAAACACAUCUAUGAUCUAAAUGCAUGAUUUCCACAUGCAUAUGAGUGCGAUGGAAUUCUAGUAUUAUAUAGAGAGGAAUUCACGUAUAUCUGUAUAAAUUUUUUAGUUUUACACCUUUUAGAAAAGAACAAUUAAAACUUGAUAAAUACAAAAAUAACCAUAUUUGUUAAUAGGGUUAAUGUACUAUUUACCCCCAAAGUUACACCCAAUUAUCACUUUGAUAACUAUUUUUUUUAUCAAUUUGGUAUCUAAAGUUUUCAAACGUCAAACACGUUACCCUAACCAUUACAAAUAAUAAUAAUAAUAAUACAAUGGAUCGCUGGAAGCGUGCCACGUCACCUAAUUUUAUGUUUUUUAAAUAAAUACAAAUUUGUGAAAUAUUGUUAACAUAUAAUAACCAAUUUUUAAUAUUCCAAGAUUAAUUUACUCUUUUAUUUAUUUUACAAAGACUAGUUUACUUAUUUUUUGAACUUAAAAAGACAAUAAAAUCCGACUCCUAAUGCAAUAUCUCCAUAAUACUUUAAUGGACAAAUUUAUCAUCAUUUUUUAUAUUCUGCAAUUUAAAAUAAUGAGAUAUCACAUGGAUGUUUGAUGAAUAGUGAGAAUCAUGUAAAGGACCGACAUUACAUCAAUCAACUUCUUCUUCUACUCUUUCAAUCAUUGUUGAACCUACAAACAUGGGUCCCGAAAUGGAUUUUAUUUUUCUGAAAGAAACUCCAUACCUGAAAAUGGAGCAUGAAUAAAUGAAUACAUGAUUUUUAAUUUUCAACAGCUAAAAGAGGAUAUCCAUUUAUAUAUCGAAUAUUUGUUAUAUAAAUCCAGCUGCAGUUCCAAUCAUAAGUAGUAGCGUAUAGUGCAACAGAGAAUGUAUUUAGUUAGUUCAACUCUGAAAAAUCAGAAUCCACCAUUAAAAUGAUCCACAAAACCAACACAGAUCUCUUCUACUUUGUUUAAUAUAUUGGUAUAGUUCCAUACCCAGAUCAACAAUGAUUAGAUUUACACAAAUCUCAUUGAAAUGUGUCCCAGGUACGUGUAUAUUAUUUACGAACAAGAAAAUAAAUUCAUUCAACAAAAGAGAUGGGUAGAGUUGAAAUUCAUAAAAGUUUUAAGUUAGGAAAACAAAGAUCAUAAUCAAAGCCAUUAUUUAUCUUUGACCAUUUGUAUAUCUCAACCAUUAGAAUUCGCUUAUUAUGUUGAGGUGGAUAUGGCUUGUUUUCAUGAUGUGGAAGAUCGACAAAUGUAUAAAUCAAUUACAUCACUAAAGCACAAUAAAAAAAAAAGCUACGAAAAACCAUAAAACUCCUAAAAAAAAAAAGAGAAAACAUCCUUCUUCACUAUCAAAAGCAUCAAAUCUACGUUGGAGGUGGCAUGAAUCAUCUAACUCAUGAAAGUUUCUUCCUUCAUGGGUUUUUGAACCAAAGAGGAAAAAUAGUGGGAAAAAUCCACUUUCACACAAGUAAAAGGUAAAGAAAGAGAGCAUACUUUUUACACUAGAGCGUGUGACUAUACGAUCAUUUUUAAAAGAUAAUAUGAAAUAAAUUUUAAGUUGAAACUAUAUUUAACAAUUUCAUCUCUACUUUAUAUAUUACCCAGAGCAACUUUCGUAUUGGGUGAUCAAGCAAAUGUAUUACCCUAAGUACUUUUGAUCAAGCAAAAGAAUUUAGUGAUACCAAUGGAGGAAAACACAUAUCGGCUACUUUAUAUAUUGUAACGUGCAGGUUUGGUUUAACUUUUCGGAGUCACUGCAUAUCGGCUACGCAGGUCUUCGUGCCCACUUGUCAAAAACAUAUAUUUCGUUACUACACAACAUUUCUCGAAACCAAAUCUUGGAUUCAAAGACGACAACCCCUCCCUCCCCACUUACAAAAAAAAAAAUGAAAAUUGAUUCAUAAUCAUUGGUAAUAAAAUAAGCAAACGAUAAAUUCUCUGUUCUUUCGUAGUGUUGCUGGCUAAUUAGAUAAUUGUAGCAAAAGUUCAUGAGAAUCCACCAUAAAUCCCAAGUUCAAACUCCCUGCCAGUUGAAUUCUUUUCUUUUUCCAAAUUAAAAACAUGAAUUCCCCUAAAUAAGAAAGGAGAAGCAUUGGCAGGCAUACUUCUAGAAAUUGGUUCAAUGCAACACAGACAUACGCAGCCGGAAAAUAUGCAAAACUGUUUCACCAAUGAACAUAAUAAAUGAAUCAUGGAUGUUCCUGUACUAAAAGUCAAACUCCAUUUUGCUCCCUUUACUAAAAAAAUGGACACUUAGUCCCUUUACAUUAAAUCAAUGAGUAAACUCGUCCUUUCUGUUAAAAAUUCAUCUAUUUAUACUAUUAAAAAACUGAAGUAACUGACGAAAGAACCAAAUAAUUACACAUGACAUGCCCAAUCUUAAACAGUAAAAAUGAACAAAAUUUUUAACAAAAAUGAUCAAUUUGCUUUUGGAUCUAACCUACAGGGAUUAAUUUAUCCAUUUUUUUAAUAGCGCGUAAAAUGCAAUUAGACUUCUUUUACCUAGUAAAUAUUGGCGUAAAACGAAAGUGCACAAAAGAUGACGUGAAGCCAUCAUCAGACAAGGGGGCAAAGCAUUUCCUUUGGCUAAAUUCGAUGUUAACAUAUUAUAGAUAAGACCAAGUCUGUACUUGUACAACGUACAAAAAUGUCACUCAACAUACAUCAUUAGGAAACAAAAAUCGCCUACUUCACAGGAGAAAAAAAUUGCAAUCUCUUUUAUCGACUUGAGAAUCUGGAAUUUUCAAUCUUGGUCACAUACAAAACAACGACCACAAAAAUUGAAGGGAAGAUUUCAAAAUUUUAGCAAGCUUCAACAGAAGAACAAUUCCUUACCGAAGCAAUCACCAGAAGCAAUAUACCUUCAUCUACAUGGACUUUCAGCCCACCACUCCCCACUACCUGUGCUAGCACAUAUUUUGCAGUACACUUGUAAUUAUAAGCAAUUAAUGUAUAAGACUAAAGUAGGCAAAAAAGUUAACAUCAAAAGGUUCUUAUACAAGAUGCAAGAAAAGCAAAUAGAUGAACAUAAACUAAAACAGGUAUUAUGUUUUAUGCAUAACUCAUCAAUACCACCAACAGUUCACAAGUUUGAUUACUCUAACAGAGGAUGUAAAACUUAUUUAGGAGAAGAAGACUUCAACACUGAUAAAAGAUUAGCAGUACUCAUGGUGAGCACAAGAAUUGGUCAAUGAAUUACCUGACAACAAGAAAUCUCCUAAUACAAUUAGUAAUUUGAAGCAAUCAUCACCAUCAUUCUGUGAUUCUACGCUUUUUGGACAUUUUAAUAUGAUUAUCGUAGCUCAUGGGAGUUGCUCCCUCAUCAACAGUUUUAUCCCCAAGCCAUUCUCUAUCUCUACUCUUCAUAGAACUCCUAUAGGAUUAUACAACAUUUAAAUUAAAACUUUCGCAAGUUGAAAUACAGAAAGGUAGCUAUUUAAAACUUUUGAGUUUACUACAAGACCUAUCAAAUUCUGAAUCUUCCUCCAAAUGUCUAUCCAACCAACGAAUGCUUCCUGUGUGAGCUGAUAUCAGAGAUCCAAUGAUAUGAAGUAUUUCCUCAUCAAAACUGCAAUAAAAGAAUCAGUGUAAAAAACCAUGUGAUGAACAUGUCAUUAACCACCGCACCUUCCCUUUCUCCGAGGGAAAAAUAAAAACACAAGAAAUCAGAACUUCAAAUAAGUUGUAAAUCUCCAAUACAUAUCAACUUGACUUGAUGAACCACAAUGAAGCAUUAUUGAGUGGAAAAGCAUGCAGAACCAAGGUAUAAAGAAGCAACAAGAUUAUAUGAUCCACUGGUUCGUAAUGGAUUAAAAAUUAAACAAAGGAAAUCACAAAAGUACGAGGCAAGAUAUCAAUAGGCAUAAUGUAAAUCUAGAUUAUAAAUAUAUAUUAUCAAUGAGCAGGGCAAAUAAACUUCUCCGCAAUCUCAAUUUACAAUUUUAGAUGGUAGAAGAAAAUAACCCUAGUAACCAUAACGAAUACCAUUUCUCUCCAGCUUACAAUUAACUAUUGAUGGUAACCAGAACAGUACAACAAUGAAAAACAUAUUCCAUUCCUAAAAUUAAAAGGAUAGUUUCUUUUGAAAGGAAAUUGUCACCUCUUGACUAAAAAUCGGAUCAUGGUUCCAACCUUUAUGACAUGUCGCUUGUGAGAUUUGCUGGCAAAUAGUUCCUCUUUGUCUUUCUAUGAUACAAUAAGACACUAAAGUUACUACAGUAAUACAUGUAGUCUCUUGCCAUAUACACAUACCCAACACACAAAGAAAUUAAUAAAAUUAAGAACAAGGUAGAAAAGUGUUACGGUUCUAUAUUUAAAUUCUCCACGAAUGUUUUCAGCUGUUAUGAUGGCAGACGAGAAACCGAGAACAAUAACAUGAAUAGAUUCUUGAGAAAGCUUCACUACCUUCCCCUCUGAAUGUGGCAAAGAAAAUUAGUUUAGACAACAUCUUAGGCAUGCAGAUCCAUAAAUACAUACCGGCAGUGUGAUAUCCACUACAAGAAAAAAAAAAAAAAAAACUAAAUAAAUAACCUGAAAUAUCAUGAAAAAAUGGUACCUAAGAGCAUAUCUGGCUUUGGUGAAAAAAGUAGGAGAUUUGCUUUUAGUCUAAGACCAAAAUAAGGAUGAACACCAGAAAGAAUUUUCGCCUGUUUAUCCAGAAUAUUGACAUCAUAGGCCAAUAAAACACCAUCAAAUGUUUCAUUAAACCUGCAAGAACAGAAUCACUUCAUAUUAUAACAGGACAAAAGGAAGCAAAUAUUCACACAUCAUUUCAUUCUUAUAAUCAACAUUACAAGUGAAGUGCAUCAUUACAAAACCUAUUGAUUUAGUAUUGAUCCCAACGGAGUCAAAAGAAUCACGCUACUAGAUCCAGACAUUGCAGUUAAAUUCAGCCUGUUUAAAAGCUUAUAUUCUCAACAGUAAUAAACUUCUCCAUUUGUUUAAAAAGAGCCACAGUAUCAUUAGCUUCAUCAUCAGAAGUUAAAUUUUCAGCUAAACUAGAAAACAGACCAAACUAAAUUAAGGUAUACUUUAUUUAAAUCAAAAGCAAUAUCAACACAAAACAGCUUUUGGUGAAGAAAAAAUAAUAAACAAAAACAGGAGUUUUGAGUUAUAUGAAAAAUUAAAUUUAAGUGAAAGUAAAAGAACUAACUUGAAUAGCAAAGAGCCAAGCUCACGGAGAAUCGACUGGGACACGUUCCUACUCUUUGAUGGGUGUAAAUACAUCAACAAAUUAGCAUCUGCUACGCUUAAUCCUUCCAUUUGAAGCUGCAGUAAAUAUCCAAAAUUAAUAGCAAGUCAGAGUUUCAAAUAGCGGUGAUGCAGCCGCUAAUUCACAGUGGCGACCGCAAAUCCGCUAUUGACACUAAACUGAUAGCUUUAAAAAAAAUUCUCCUUCUCAAUGAAGUAAACAGACGGAAUAACGAGCAGUAGGAUAGAAAACAAAAAAUAAAAUAUAGCAGCAGAGACAGAGAUCAGA
rnacentral:lncRNA from 1 species